rnacentral:lncRNA from 1 species
GUAUUGUUCCCAACUAAAGGAACCACUGAUCAUCUCAGUAUGCAAAUUUCAAAGCAAAUAAGAAAAUUAUGGCUUUUUGAAUUGGAAAAGCUCGAGCACAUCUGGCAGGAAGACUUUCCACUGAAUCAUCCUCUGUUCCAAUAUCUUGAAGAUUUACGUGUACUGAAUUGUCCAAGUUUGAUAAGUUUGGUACCAUCGUCGACAUCUUUCACAAAUUUAACCUAUUUGAUAGUGGACAACUGCAAAGAGCUGAUCUAUUUGAUAACAUAUUCAACAGCUAAAAGCCUAGUUCAACUCAAAACAUUAAUAGUAAUGAAUUGUGAGAAGAUGUUAGAUGUUGUGAAGAUUGAUGAAGAAAAAGCAGAGGAAAACAUCGUAUUUGAAAACUUGGAAUACUUGGAAUUUACUUCAUUGUCAAGUUUGAGAAGCUUCUGCUAUGGGAAACAAACAUUCAUAUUCCCAUCUUUGCUUCGUUUCAUCUUUAAAGGAUGCCCUCGAAUGAAAAUCUUCUCAUUUGCACUCACAGUAACACCGUACCUCACAAAAAUUGAUGUGGGAGAAGAAAACAUGCGAUGGAAAGGUGAUCUUAACAAAACUAUUGAACAAAUGUUCAUAGAAAAGGUACACAAUGUCAUUAUUAUUUAUGAAAAUUGUUUACUUUAUAAUUCACUUAAUUAAACAAGGCACACAAUAUUAGGGUAAAGAUCCUCUACAUUUAUAACUUUUUCCAUUUGUUGCAAUUUUGAGAAAGAUAGACACAUAAAAAAUAAUGAUGGUGAGAUCCACUUAGUGAUAGCGUCUUUGAAAUUAAUUAUGGAUUUACUACAAAGUUCGAAGUUCCUGAAAAGAAAAUUUAAUUAACUUAUAAACAUCCUAUUAUUUACAUCCAUUAAUUAGUUUUUUUGUUCAUUCUACUUUAUAUGAAAGAUUAGGACUAUAUCAUAGUUUGAGAUAUCCCAAUUCAAUUAUCUAAUUCGCUAAAAAAAAAAUUCUUUUUUUUAUGGUGUUCGGGGUUCGAACCUUGGACCUUGCAUGUAUUAUGCAUUGUCCUUACCAACUGAGCUACCCUCACAGGGACAAAUAACAAUUAUCUAAUAAAAGGAGUUUAGCUACCUUUUCUAUUUAUUUUUUAAAAAAAAUUCUAAUGAGACAUGGUAAUUGACAAAGUCUUUUUUUUUUGUCAAGUUGUUUAGUGGCUAGAAAUUCAACUUUCUGCAUAUAAUAUGCAAUGUUCCUAUCAAUUAAGUUAAGUUCACGGAGACGGUAAAUAAGAAAGUUUAAUUCGCUGAAUAAGUUACUUUUAUAUAUAAAAAAAACUGUGGUGUGAUAAACAAUUAUUUUUUUUAUUUGUGAAAAAUCAAACUAUAUAAACUGUCAAGUCAUUUUAUUUUCAGACCUUAUUUUAAAAUAAAUUUACAAUUUUCGAUUUACGGUUGUAAUUAUUUAAAGUACUUUGAAAUUAGAAGAGUGAAUAGUGAAUUUCUUGAGCAAACGUUACCAAAUAGUUAGGGGUUGAUACUUGAUAUACUUGUUAAUUAAUUAAUGUUAAUUUUUUUUGAACAGGAAGUCUCACAUUCUAAUUAAUAUGUUGAAUGAGACCAUAAUCUAUCCUCGUAUUUGCAAGGUACCCAACACUAAAUUCUUCUCUUUCCAAACAUUUUAAUUUUUCACUAGAGAAUUAUAUUGUCAUUUGAUUGCAGAGUGUUUUGUUCAUUCUUCACUGAAAUUUUUGGAAUACAUUUUGUUUAUUAAGGUUUGUUCAACAUAAACAAUUAUUAUUAAGGUUGAAAAAUAUUUUUAACACAAUCACAUGAUAAAAAGUGAAAUAACAUAAUCAUUGCUAUGUCCGACCCUGUCGAUAAAAGAAUAAUAACAACAAUGUUGUCACUAAAUGAGCAUUAUCUACUUGUCCUUAAUAGUGCUUGAGUCACCCUAUACAUAUUAUUGUUGCUAUUUUACUCUUAACCAUUCCCAAUAUAGACUGAAUCUUUCCUCACCGGAAUUCCAAGUAAUUGGCUAUAACUCGAGCAAGCUCCUCUUUCAAUCUGAGAGUAUCUAUUGCAAUUAAGAGGUAAUUACAGAUCUAUACAAACUUCUAAAACUUCGUUGAUAUCUCUUGAAAGAUCCAUGCUUACAUCUUUAAGACCUAUAUUUUAUCUCAAGUCAAAUAAAAUAUAAAUUAGUUGAUGGAUAAUCCUAAGACUUAGAUGACAAUAUAAUGAGGUAUAGUGUAGAGAGUAAGGGUAAAAUUCCUCAUUAAGAAUUUGAGUUUUAAACUAGCAUUACAAUAAUGACUAAUUAAAAUUGGAAAUAAUAAUAUGGUUAAGAUAAGGGUGAGAAUUGUUUGGCCAACUAACAAACUGUAUUUAGUUUUUUAAUGAGUUGUGAUAUUUGUUAAAUUAGGAAUUAAAAUAAGGAAUUACCAACAUAAAUAGGUUGUUGCGUUUAUAGUUGAAUUAUGCAUUAACAUGAAUGAUAUUGAUGUUGUGUAAUUUCCUAUAUGUGAUCAUUGCUGCUAAGUGUUGUCUAAACUUGGAUACUACUAUUGUGAUGUGUGGGUUAAAUAUUUGAUUAUAAUGCAAUGUGAGUGUGAAUAAUGCGAAUGUGUGUUGUAAAUAUGUGUUGUUGUGAAUAAUAAGUAUUUUGUUGAAAUAUGCAUUGUGUACUAUAUGUGAAUUGAGAUAACCCAUCUCUAGCUGAUGAUGGGGCUAUUUUGAAGAGUGACUUGGGCCAACAAGGGGGGAGAGGUGUGUCUUACAGUCAAAUAACCAAUGAAGUGUUGGUUAUAUGGUCAUCAUAUAGGUAGGGUUUGACAAACUUAAGUGUUACGAAACAUAUACUAGUGGUGCCUAAUAGUUAGGGUAUACUUGUUAGAUCAUAGGAGUACAAUGAGGGAAAAUUUCCUAAUGUUAGGAGCUUACAUGAAACCACUGUGUAUUUUUGCAUGUCACAUAUAUGAAGACUUGAAUGUGUUUUCCUCUUACAAGAGUAUACUGCCACAUUCCUUGCCAUUUUUUCGUAGUUAGAUGGUACCAAGUGAAAUUGAAGUGUUACAGGAAUUGUGCAUGCUUGUGUCUUGUGAUUAAAUGUGUAUUCAUAUGAGCGAUAAUGUGUCCCUCGGAAGAAAACUUAAUGCUUGUGAAAGACUUGAAUUGAUGUUAUUUAUAUGUGUUUGUCUAAUUUAUUAGUAUACGUUAUGAAACUUGAUUACUCACCCAUUUCGUGUAUUUGUGUUUGACGAUUGCGAUGACGCACAGACGCAAGAAACAUGUGAGAAGUAGUGCCAAGGAGCUAUUUAUAUUGGUGUUUUGAAGACUUUCUUUUAUUUUCUAUUCAUGUUGUUAUUUGAUUGAUUUACAUGUCAAGUACCUUGGAUUGUAAUUUUACUCUUAUUGUUCUGGUGGGUGAUGUUGAGGAUUCUUGUACUAUGUUACCUAUUUGUUUAAUUGCCAAAUCCAACCAUGGCAUAUGUGGGGGUGUUUAUACGUCUUUGAUGGAUCACUCUUCUAUAUCUAUAUACUAUAUAGAAAAUUAAUGUCAUUUAUUUUUCCAUUUUUGCCAUCCUAAAGGGUAAUUUAGUAAUCCUGUAAUUUGAGAGAAGGGUAUUUUAGUAAUAUUAAUAUAAAAAUCUACAAUUAAAAAGAAAGAAAAAAAGGCUUAAAUAUUGCACUCUUCCCUGCAAAUAUGACCCGUUUAAGUUUUAGUCCCUGUAAAAAAAAAAAAUUGUUUUUGCAGGAUUUGUCAUGACUUAAAUGGGCCCAGGGGUAUUUUUAAAAGACAGAUUUUUUUGCUGGGAUUGAUUUCUGAUUUUUUAUUUUACAAGGACCAAAACUUAAACGGGCCAUAUUUGCAGGGACGAAUGCAAUAUUUAAGCAAAAAAAAAAAAUCAGAGAGAGAAGAAAGGGGCUCAACGUAGAAGAGGAAAAGAAGUAAAGAAGGGCCCAGGGGUAUUUUUAAAAGACAGAUUUUUUUGCUGGGAUUGAUUUCUGAUUUUUUAUUUUACAAGGACCAAAACUUAAACGGACCAUAUUUGCAGGGACGAAUGCAAUAUUUAAGCAAAAAAAAAAAAAAAUCAGAGAGAGAAGAAAGGGGCUGAACGUAGAAGAGGAAAAGAAGUAAAGAAGAAGAGGCAGUGAGAGGGAGUGGGUUACCGAAAGAGAGAAAUGAGAAGCAGGAAGAACUAUGAGAUCGAGAGACAAGGAAGAGAAGAGAGUUGGAGCUGCAACCUCCAUCUACAGUAAAGAAAAAGGAGAAGUCACCAUUGAAGAAGCUAUAGCCAUCAUGGAAGUUGCAAAAUCAAGUUAAAAUUAGGGAUUCAAGUAUCUCUCUUUUGGGUAAAAUCUAAGGUAACAUAGUCUUAAACCCAAACCUUAAAACCUCUCUAGGGUGUAAUUAGGGUUAUUAAAAUUGAUUUAUGAUUAAUGAAUGUUCUUGCUCUAUUGUUGUUUGCAUGCUAUAGAAUCAAUGUUCUAAUUAUUGAUUUCUUUUACAAAAUCUGUUUUGGAUAGAUUUAGAAGUGACAUUGAGAUUAUUAUUACUAUUAUUAUGUAUCUCAUGAUAAACAAUUUAUGUUUGCUGUGUAAGAGGAGAAUUAGUUGUUAUUAGAUAAAUUAUAUGCGAUGUAGCGGUUGUGAGCGAAACAAAUAUGAUUAUUUUUCUGCAUAAAAACAUUAUGACGUAGCUGAGUUAAAUUGGGUAUAGAUUGAGCGAUUGGAAUCAAUUUUGAGUGAAACCAAUUAGAUUGGAAAGCUUACUUUUACUACUUUAAUAAUGUCAAGUCUUAUAUUUUUAUAUUGGUUAUAUGAUUUAUAGUGAUUUUAUGAAAUCAGCUGUUCGAUUUUACAAAUUAUGUUGUGUCAGUCAGCUUAGAAAGUUAAUAUCUCAAGACUGGAAACUCCUUUUCGAGUAGGACCAGUUGCGUUUGAAAGAGGACAUAUAGUAGUUUCUUCAUGUUUAAUUUCAUAAUUUUAUGAUUUGCCUAUAUGUCCCAGUUGCUAUUUAAACACAGCUGUUCUGUCACAGAAUUUUAAGGUAUAUGGUUGACUUUAGAUAAUCCAAAAUUUGAGUUUUAUGAAUCGGCUCGGUGUGAAACUAAAAAGUUCUAGAUUUGGUUAGUGAAUGCAUGAUCGAUCAACGUUGUUUAAUGCUGGUUUAGCCUAACUACAAGUGACUGAUUAUGGUUGAACCGUGACUGAAUUUUAUGGAUAGAUUGUUAGAAAAAGUGUAUUGGACUGAUUAUGAAUUAUGGGUUGAAAAUUUUGCUGUGUAACCCAAAAUGGAGAAAUUAUUGGAUUUUAAGAUUCUACCCUCAAUUCCCUACAGUUUAGAUAUAAAUUUUGUACGAUUUGGAUCAAGAAUGAAUUCAGAAAGCACAUUAGAAGUUGGACUGUAGUGCUGAAAAUCUGCAGAAAAAGCUAUGCGGGUUUUGGCAUGAAAAUUGCAAAAUAAGCGAUUUUGAAGUUUAAGUUGCUGAAUAAAUGAUCUAAAAGUUGUUCAUAAGUGUUUGGUUGUGUGGGUUGAUGUUUGGAAUGAAUUCGGAACAUGCAGAGGCCAUAAGCUGUAGUUAAGCUGUUUUGAGAAAAGUGCUUAUGGGGCAUAGCAGGAGCUGAAAUGGGACGUAAGCAGCGUCGAGACUUUAAAAAAAAUGUUUAAGGUGAGUUCCUUUAGUUGUAGAACCCACCUCUUGGGUAGUUUAUGAUUAUGUUUGAGUGAGAUAAAUAUUUGUGGUUUGUUGUUUUCAUAGAGUUAUCUACAUCUCUUCCUAAUUUGCAGUUUCCCAUAGAGUUGCAGCAACACAUCAUAUCGCAUAAGAGGGUGGUUCAAGCGACGAUGAUAGAUAGAAGGUUUCUAAUUGCGGGGAGUGGCUUGCUGAACCUUUCACAAAUCAAGGUAAUAUUUGUGGGUUUGAUUUUAUAAAAAAUCUUGGUUUGUGUUUAUGAUGGGGGGUAAUAGUAGAGGAAAAGAUGGUGAAGGAACUUCUGGAAUUAACAGGGUUGAUGAUGAUGAUAGCUAUGAAUAUUUACAAGAGAUGAAUUUUGUGCCUUAUGAAACACUUCUUCACAAUAACAUGAAUACCAAUGGUUUUGUAGUUCCCUUUCUCAUGCAACAGGUUAGAGACACAUGAUCCUUUUUUCAUUUUCUUUCAAUUUCUUUUAUUUUAGAUAGAUUUUUAUGAUAAUGAAUUUGUGAAUUUCUGGAGACACUUCUAAACAAAUUUUAUGAUAAUGAAUUUGUGAAUUUUUCAUCACCUCCAAGUUUCUCGUGCGUCUUACUUUCGGAUUGUAAAAUCCAAAAAAAAUGUGCAGGGAGGGAUCUUAUGCUUUUUUAGAAAUUAAAUCUAAAUAAGGCCACAUUUGACAUGCUGAUAUUGUGCAUUUUGUCUCCCGACUAAUGAGUGGUAUAAAUUUAGGCAGGAACCACUUGUGCUACAGUUCUUAUCCGAGCAAUAUUUACGGAAGGAUGCAAAUCAGUAGCAGCUGAAUGAAUGCAAUGGAUCUGAGGCGAGGUAUAAAUAUGGAUGUUGAUGCUGUUGUGACAAACUUGAAAAGCAGAGCACGAAUGAUCGACACUUCCGAAGAAAUAGCUCAGGUAUGUGUAUCAAAUUUUUAGAGCUAAUAGGCAUAUUCCAAGAAAGUGGUGACUACCUCAAGGACUGCAGGACAGUAGUUUUUAUGAGUUUUGUAUUUUUAAUUUUGUAUUUUUAAUUUAUUGAAAUUUGUUUUCAUGUUGUAGAAAGUUUUUGGAUCAUAUCAAAUUUUAUGAUGUAAAUUUGUGUUUGAUUUUUGUAGGUGGAUUUGACACAGCUCAUGCCUGCUGCUAGGUAAAUCUUUGAACAUAUUUUCAAUUUUUUUGUGUAAUAUGAUGAUGAUCUUAAACAGGUUAGAGAAUUUUCAAGUAUACUUAAUGAAUGUGAAACUAGAUGGAUUAUAUCAUGUAAUUUUUCGAUAUUUUGUUACUUAGACAAAGAAUUUAUCGAAAGAGGAGUUUGUGCAAACACUUCGUCUACAGAGCAAUGUUUUCUCAAGAGGGAGUUUGAAGUACAGGGGAGUAACACUGCACAGAUGUGGCCGUUGGGAAGCUCGAAUGGGUCAAUUCCUUGGUAAAAACAGAGAACCUAUUUUUAAUUUAACUUUAGUUAUUUACUAUGAUCACAUGAGAUAUUAUGAAUUUAAAAUCCUAAGGCCUCCAACAAAAGUGAAUGAGUUUCAGCUUAAUUCUCGACACACUUUUAGGCUCUUUAUCGUGUUAUAAUACUCAUUAUAAUAGCUAAAUAGCUUUUAUAUUAAAUAGCAAAAGUGAAGAGCAGAUGUGUAUGCUAAAUAGCUUUUUUUUUAAUGCAGAUAUAUUAUCAUCAUAUUCUUAUAAUACUCAUUUUCCUUUGUUAUGCCUAUAACUGUGUUGUUAAGUAGCAGUUAUAGCAGCGCUAUAUUCCAAAGUCGACGGAUUUUCCUCUUACUAAAAAUUUCAUUGAUGUCGGUAUUGACAUGUAGAAUGGGACUCGAUCUUUAUUUUCGUCUGAUUAAUCAGUUAUUCAAAAGAUCCAUCAGACUAUGGUGGAGUGACUGAUUUGAUCAAUCAAUAUUAUUCUAUUGAAAGAGUAAAUGUUGUCAACUCCAUUUGUUAGAACAGCUUCCAUUGAGUGGGAGUAGAAAAAAAAAGAUGGAUGGGAGUAGAAAUGCAAAAUUUUAGUAAUAGGCCUCUUAUCGUUGAUGAUCUAUGUUAGAACGAAGCCUAGAGAUACAAUUAGGCUUGUGCAGAAUUUAUAUAAUGUUGUUAACUUUUUCGUUUAGUAUAUUAUACGCAGUUUGUUUAAUUAUUAGCAGUUUGUGUCAGUUUAUAAUUCUCUAUUUCCUGUUACUGCCUUUGUUGGACAGGUUCCACUGAGAAGAAUAAUAACAUCCAUGUACGUUCAGUUCAGUCUGUGCAUUCUGAAUAAUACCAUAUUCUAUCACGAAACUCAUUUUAUUUUUGCUUUCUCAUGGUCACUUCUUUCUCUGUUGACAUUUCGCCUUUUCUUUCGGUGGAAAGAAGAAAACUUAAAUAAUAAGCAUAGUAGAAUACUAGAAAUUUUAAAGGUCUACAACAUGUCGUAUUUCGUUGAAAAGUAAUGUAUGUGUAUGUUUCUAUGCUUGUGAGUGGAUUGUUGCUUUCUCUAUGGUAUCUACUGCCUUUUUCAUUUGAUUCACUUUACUUUGUCAUGAAUGUGUAGGUUGGACCUGGUGCCUAUGUAAUAUGCACUUUCAAUGUUAAGUUAUGGCAACAAAUCAUUUUAACCUUUAAGGUAUGAUUGAAUUGAAGGUUUAAGAAGAAAAUGGAGGGGAAUUGACAUGAAUAAGCAACAAAGGUCAUGUAGGGGAUGGUGGAGAAAAAUUUGUAUUGGUGAUGUAUUUAUCGAUGGAGAUGUUCUUGAAUUCACAUUUAGGAUUAAGAAUAGUGGUUGGGUUGAUGUGAAAAAGAUUGUGAUUACUAUUUCCCUUAACUUGGUCAUCUUUUAUCAAUGCAAUAAUCCUUUUUAGUUUAUAAAUGUGGAACUUUGACAGUUUAUCAUUUUAGAGUUAUGAAUCUGCAACAUUUACAUAUAUGUUCUUAGAUAAAUUGCAUCAACAUUAUUAAAAAGAGUAGAAGCCUGAGCGCAAAUUCUAAUCGGUUUUAGUAAUAAACAGAUUUUCUAAAUUAUAACUUAUUCAAACAAAUAAUAAGGAUUUUCUAUUCUAACUUGCUUGAUUUUCACAUUUAUAACAAUUUCUUAGAAAGAUGCAGGUAUUUUUUGUAAUUUGAUCAUUUCUCCUUUAGAGCAAUUUUUUUUCAAAAACACGUUAUUCAACCCGUGCGAAGCACUAAUGUCAUACAUGUUUCUGAGAAUUGAGAAAGAAUUGGCGAAGGUGUUUUGGUUUGGUUAUAGAGAUUGCGAUGCUUUCGUGUAGGUAUAUAUAUCUUGGGUUAUUCGACAGUGAAGUAGAAGCUGCAAGGUCCUAAGCACUAAUGAAUUAUUACAUUAUACCUGCACUGAAUUUAUUACACUUGAUUAAUAAGCUCAUUUGCAAUGCAUCCAACAUGUAUCUCCCUUUUGAUUUUCCAAUUGGUAAGUAAAAUUAUCAUUGUACAGAAUAGAAAGUACAAUGCCUAAAAAUUGUAGCAUGGACUUUCCUUAGCAAGUUCAAAUAUGUUUUGAUAAAAAGGAAGCAAUCAGAUAUUUUGAAAAUGUGAUAACAAUCGUGGAUUUAGAAGAGUAUAAAUCAAUGCGAUCGCUGAGCUUGAAUAAGGAUUUGUCACUGUCAAUCCUUCAUAAAUGUUGUUUUUUGAUACACUAAAAAACCAAAAGCAAUUUAUGAAUUAUAUUGGAGCCUGUGACUGUUAAUUUUCAUGUAGUGUAGAGGAGGUCAAGUUAUUGAGUAUGAUCAUGAUGAUGUUAAUUAACAAAUAUGAGCAUUUGUAUUAUUCAGUCUAUGUAUAUUUGUUUAGAUUACAUAAUAUUUGCACUAUUUGGCUGUGUUCCUUAUUUAGUGCGGUAACAUUUUGGGAUUGGCUUAGUACACUUGGAUUUUAUCUUAGGAAAUCAGUUUCAUUUGACUUAUUCAAACAUAUAGUAAGGAUUUAAAAAAAACAGUAUUCAACCCGUGCGAAGGACGCGACCUUCGUUCUCAAAAUUACGAAGAAUAGGAAUGUUCCGUAAUUUGAACAUCUCUCCUUUAGAGAAAUUUUUAAAAAAAUACAUAAUUUAACCUCGCACGGGUUUGUAACUAGUUUUAUUUCUAAAAAUUGAACAUUUCUAUUUGGACAAAUGGUAUGCAUGCUAUGUAGUAAGUCUGUGUGCUCAUGUUUUGUGAAAUCUUUUUUAAAAGUUUCUAUUGGAGAUAUUGUUUGGGUUUGUAUUCAUUGGAACUAUAUAAUUCAAAACAAACAAAGACAGACACCUUUUCGUGUUUUGGCAAAGCUUGGUUACUUUUAUUUAUAGAACUCUAUCACUCCUGACAUGACAUAGUUGAGAUAUCACUCCAAGCAAUAUGAAAUUUGGAAAAUCCAUAGCUCAUGCAUAAUUUCUGAAAUUUGUUUUCAGUUUUUUCCUUUCCAUAGUGUAUAAAAAGCAUGAGAUUGUCAAUAGCAUAAGAAUGCUUAGACAUAUUGCUUGGGUUUGGAGCCUCUAGAAUUAUAUAAUCCAAAACAGUCACCUUUUUGUGUUUUAGCAAAGGUUAGUGACAGAUUCUUAAAAAUUUCACACAUUCUUCAUCUGCCCAAUUGAUACCUUUAAUUGAAGGAUAUUCAGAUAUAAUUUGUUUCAAUGCAUUCAUCUUUAAUCAAUAGUGUUGAGACGCUCUCUAAUCUUUUAUAUAGUGUACCCUUUUCAUUUCCAAUGGAUCAGAAUGGGCCAUUGCUUUGUUAAAAAUUUGAUUUAGCUCUUGAUUUUUCUCCCGAUAGAUAUUGAUAAGCAGGUCUUGCAUGAACUUUAGGGUUUAUAAUUGCAUUGUAAACAACACACAAUGAUCGAAAAUAUAAGUAACUCUAACUAAUUUCAUUGUAUUUAUUGAUGUCAUUUGUAAAACACUCUUCAUUUAACUCAAUUAUUUUUUUUUAUUCUAAUUUCUUUUUCACCAUCUCUUGCUCUCGUAGAAAAUUAAAAUCUUAUCAUGUACAAAAGAGAAGAUUUCGGAAAAGCUGUUUUUUGGUUGGCAUCUACCUCAUGGGUGAGGCGCAUGGGUUUUGUGUUUUUAGCCGUGUUUAUUUCUGUCUUCUACGUGAGGCACACACCCCAGUGCGCAAGGCGCAUGGUCUGAGUGCGAGGCAUGUCAAAAAAAAUGUCUAGUUUUGUGCUUGGCACGUCUAGUUUUGUGUCAAUGUCGUGUCGUACACUAACGUGUAUUCGACAUUGGGACACAACUAAUAAUCUGAAGGAUGUACGUGUUUCACUGAUCAUGCACAAUAUUUAUAUAAAUGGAUAUUAUAUAAACAAAUUGAAACACCUAAAUUCGAAAGAAAACAAUUUGAAUAGUUUUUCACAAUCAAAUAGAUUUGGAUCCCAGUCAUCGGGAUGCCUUGCAUUUAGAUCUUCAUGGUCAUUCAAUCAAGAAUGAAAGGUCUAGAUUCAAGCUCAGGUGACCUAUAAAUUAAUCAAAUCUGCAUUUCUUUGAGCCAUCUAAUUUUGAUGUAACGAUCACUGAUGUCCUGAAUGCAUGAAUUCAGAAAAUCCAAAAUGAGCUCUUUUUAGCUUGUAAUGUGUAGUUUUCUCUUUUCACUCUGUGACAACAGCGACAAACAUAACAUACGACAGAAAAAGCAUCGAAAAGUGGUAAAUGAAAGCCAAAAUUUGUUUGUGUCCGGCAACAAAACAAUCCAAUGAAGCCGUGGAUUUCAUAAAAUGAAGCCAAAGUGGUUGAUCAUCAAAUUCAAUCUCCAAAAAAUCCUCUCAGUAGAAUCCAUCUCCAAAAACUUGUCAAGAAUCUAGAGUUUCCAAAUUGCUUUCAAGCAUCAAUGGAGAAGAUUCGUGAAGUUGGUAAACAGAAUGAGAGAAACAGAACAUGCAUGGUUGAAGUAGGUGUAACCAAAACUAUGGUUAUGGUGAUUAAAAAGAAAUUCAAAGAAGGAAACACCAAUGGUUUGGAAGAAGCUUUGAAAAUUCUUCGUCUUUUGUGGAAUGAAGCGAUGAUCAACAACAGGGUGAAACUUUUGGGUCGCAAAAACAUGGAUUUCCUGAAUUUGUUGACUUGGAUUUUGAAAAUUUACAUUGAUAACAAUUUUGAGAUAGUAAAUGAACUUACGCCAUUAUUAAAGUUGACAAUUGAUGUUGUGAUUCAAACCUUUUAGGAAAUUUACACAUUGAAUUCUUUGUAACAAUGGUGAGAGUACUUAGAAAGAGAGGAUUACUCACCAAACAAGCUAUUAAAUCAGCGUUACAUGUGCUUAUAAAGAUGUGCCCAUUGGGUAGAAACUGAACGAGGAUAAUGGAAGCGGGUGGAACAACCGAACUCAUUGAAAUCAAACUUGAAAAAUCGGAGAAGAAUGUGAGAGAGCUCCUGUUCAAUCUUUUGGCACAUUGGCGUUCGUGUGCUGAUCGGAGAGAACAAUUUUUUAGGCACGCAGCGGGCAUAGCGAUGAUUUCGAAGAGGAUUUUGAGGGUCUCAGCCGCAACAGAUGACCUAGCGAUUCAUGUAAUUUCUUUAAGAAGUCGUAAUAGAGCAAGGAAAAGGAAAAACUUGUUGGCUCCUUAAGUUUCAGAAGUAAAUUCUUUAGUAGGAUAAUGAAGCACUCUUCAGUAAGGCUCGCUAACUUUAUCUUGGUCGAGGCAUUUUUUCAAAUUACAUAUUUUGGUGAUUAAGAAAGAUGGCUCACAAAGGAAUAAUCAUCAUCAAAUGCCUCAAUAAGUCUAAUAACAGGGUGAAUUGGUCAUUUUGGCUAGCCAAACACACCAUAGCAAUUCACUUCAAAUACUAAGGACUUCAUUUUCCAGUCUUUCCGGUUAUUGAUUAAAGGCCUAAUGAAUCACCAUUCUAUUGUUUCAUAUUAUUGGCACGAAAAUUUGGUGUUCUUAACUAGUUUACAUAUCUAUUUGAGCUAACCACAGCCAAAUGUACCAUAGCAAUUCACUUCAAAUACUUAAAUCGAGACAAUGAAUUCUACUUAAAACGAUAUCUAAACUUUAAUCGUAAAAAAUUCUUACCUUAAGUGUAUCUGAGAAGAAUAUAUAUGGCAUUAUUGCUUCCACUGAUAUGACAGUCUUGGAGAUGCUUGAAGUCAGUUGGCUAUAUCUACAGCUUUGAACCUCCCUGCUUGAUCUGUAUAAAGACAGAUGUUAACAAUUUCUUCAGAAUCUUUGAUACAAUAAUCCAAAAUAAAUUCAACCGAGUAAAAUGGUACAUAAAAUGUUGACAAGCACCUACACGACAUGCGUAUACAUAUCAGCUCAAUCCACAUUGUAAGCCAAGUUUCAAACAUAUAUUGUCUCUGAAGCAUACAACACUUCGUUUUUUUUUCAGAGCACCUGCGAAAAUCAAAACUCAUUAACAAAUAAUUUCACUAAUUUGCAUCAAGUGAAUUAAAAUAAUAAUCUAAAGUAGAUGCAUAUUGAUCGUAAGAAUGCAAACAAGGUUCAAUUCAAUCAAUGACACAUUAACAGAUAAAACAAAAGAAGAACAUUGCCACAAUCAUUACACAAACAAACACAAACACCUAAUCAAGAUAAAAACUUUUUCACAUAAAAAGUACGUACACCCCAUGAAAUUGAACAAAGCAAAGAUGUUAAAUCUACAUUCAAACAAAAAAGUAACAACUCUAGACAGACACGGAAAAAUUGAAACAUAAAAAGCCAACUAUUCAAAGCCAGACGAUAAACGUAAGUUUGAUGGGUUAGGAUCCAAUAUUUGCUAAAAACUUGUAACAGUAAUGUCGCGGCGCGAAAAAAAGAAAGAAAUGGCCACGAGUGUAAACACUCGGAGCGAUAACGGAGUCGCCACUGAACUUUAUUUAUCCCAAAAGAGGGUAAGGAAAAUAUCGAUAAAACUUUGGGUGAAACAUGGUCAACAAAAAUAAAAAGCCAACUGUAAGAAACAGAAAAACUGAAACAUACCUCCACUAUCCAAAACCACUGUCUUCUGAAAUGAACACUAACUACGUUGCAACUCCAAUGAGGCCAUUUCAUUGCGAAGUUGAAAAGCCCUAACACUGUUUCCCUUCUGCACGUGACAAGUGAUCAACGUCUCAUAUAUACCGACAUUUGGAGCCAGCGAUCGACCUUUCAUAAUCCUCAAACACUUCUCCGCAUCAUCAACCUUUCCACAACGGCACAAACACUGAAUCAUCGAGGAAACAACAGACAAUCCCCAACACAUGGACUUAUACUCCAUUUCAUAAUAUCUCUUAAGAACUCCCUGAACCUCGUCCUUUCUCGCAUAGCCAUGGAUCAAACAACACAGUCAGCAUAUCAUUCACCCUCUCUACUUCCCCAUUCUCUCAAAGCUUCUCCACCACCUUAUUAAACGAUGAACAACAAGGAACAAACCCAGCACUCAGCAUUUCCUCAAAAACACUCCAGCACCCCUCCAACCGUCCUGAAUCCGCGCAUCCAACUAUAACAGAUUCAUAAGUCUCACCAUAAGCCCUUAACACUUUCCCUUCCAUUUCCGUCCCUUCUCACACAGCCCUCGUAUAAACAAGGUGUAAGCAAACGAAUUCUCACAAAAACCUCUCCUCACCAUCUCAAGAGCAAAAUCCAAAUCCCCUAACCUAACAUUAACAUGAAAAAUCAACAAGUAAGCAACCGAAUUACCAAUCAAGUUCUUCUGCAACAAUCUCUUCAACAAUGUAACUAACUUACCUUCUUCUUCUCCCUCCUUUUCCAUCAUUCUCAAGCUUAAACUGAAAUUAACAAUAACUGAAGGAAAAUGUGAAUUUCUCUUUCCAACAAUCCGAUCUACAUUAUCAACAUUCCUCCGUAACAAUUUUUCUUUACAAAGAGCAUCAAUCAAAAUCUUAAAUGUAACAACAUUAGGGUAAACUCUUUUUUCAAUCAUGUAACCAUAAACCUCCCAAAUAAUUAAAACUCGAUAAACCGAUACAAAAUCCUAAUUCAUCGAUGUAACGAAUAACAUAAAAAGCAGGAUCGAUUAAUCUCGCUUUCACAUAUGUUUUAAUUAACAGAUCGAGAACAGGAGGGUUCAAACUGGAGACAAUAACUGAGAAGUGUUGAUGAGUAAUUUUUAACUUGUAGUGUGUAGUUUUCUCUUUCAACUUAGUAAACAAAUGUUUGAGAAUUGCUGUUCCCACAUAUAGUAUGGUUGUGCCACACGAGUAAAAUACCAAAAUGCCCUUCGGCAGUUAACUGCCGAAGUUUUGAGUAAACCGGCGGCAGCAUACUACCGAGGAUUUCCUGCUGAGGAUAUAUUUCAUCAGAUGAAACAGCCACCUGCUCCCCCUACACUCUAUUUUCUUCAUCAACUUCAUUUUUCAUCUCCAUUCCAAUCCAAAAAUCCUUUAUUUUUUCCAUCAAUCCUUGAUCCAAAAUCAUUCAAGCAUCAAGCAUAGGAGGUAUCAACACACAUUUGACGUAAAAAAACAGCUAUUGUGCAUUUUAUUUGAUUGAUUUUUGUAUUAUUUUAUGGGUAUCUACGUGAGUUACGUAGAACCCUGUCAUGGGAAUCCUCGGCAGUUAACUGCCGAGGGAAACUUCGGUAGUGUAGUGCCGAGGAAAACCUCGGUAGCAAGGUGCCGAGGAAGUCUUAGUGAAAAAUUUCACAACGAAAAAAUGGCAGCUACUGCCAAAUUUUCAAAAAAAAAUUUCUUUUGUUUUUUUUUUCUUUUUUUUGUUUUAAUUCAUCAUGGCAUUGAUGUUUAUACAUUAUGUAGUUGUUAAUUCAUAUUUAUAUGUUGUAUAAUUAUAGUAAUGGUAGAGAAUGCGAAAGAUGUUCCGGGAGAGACAAAACAAAAUUUUGUCGAAAAUUCUGGAGAUGUCAAACCGCCUAAUGUUGAAGCGAAAACAAACAUAGAUGGAGCUUCCGUCCAUGUUGAAGCUUCAAAGUAUGUUGGCGGCUCCGGUGUACUCCCACUUCAACCCCACGAGGUUGACACGGCUAAGUUUUUUUCAGACGACGUUAAGUCGAAAAAUAGAGAUGAAUUGCUUGAGUGGGUGCGUCGACAAGCAAAUAAGACGGGAUUUACAAUUGUCACACAAAGAUCAAGCUUGAUCAAUCCAAUGUUCCGGCUAGUGUGUGAAAGGAGUGGAAGUCACAUAGUUUCGAAAAAAAACCGAAGCAUGCGAGAACGGGGUCAAGAAAAUGUGGUUGCUUAUUCAUGAUUAGUGGAUAUCAAAGUAAGCAAACAAAGGAAUGGGGAUUGAACAUUCUUAAUGGAGUUCACAACCAUCCCAUGGAGCCGGCUUUAGAAGGACACAUUCUUUCCGGUAGAUUAAAGGAGGACGACAAGAAGAUUGUACGUGACUUGACAAAGAGCAAGAUGCUUCCAAGAAAUAUUUUGAUACAUUUGAAGAAACAAAGACCACAUUGCAUGACAAAUGUGAAGCAAGUGUACAAUGAACGUCAACAAAUAUGGAAGGCAAAUAGGGGUGACAAGAAGCCGUUGCAAUAUCUAAUCUCGAAGUUGGAGGAGCACAAGUAUACUUAUUACUCAAGAACACAACUUGAAAGUAAUACUAUUGAAGAUAUAUUUUGGGCUCAUCCAACAUCCAUUAAGUUGUUUAACAAUUUUCCAACGGUUUUGGUUAUGGACUCGACGUACAAAACCAACAUGUAUAGGAUGCCAAUGUUUGAGGUAGUUGGGGUGACUUCAACCGAUUUGACAUAUUCGGUUGGGUUUGGAUUUAUGACACAUGAGAAAGAAGAAAACUUUGUUUGGGUUUUAAAGAUGUUGCGUAAACUUCUUUCGUCAAAGAUGAAUAUGCCUAAGGUGAUUGUUACCGAUAGGGAUAUGUCUUUGAUGACAGCGGUUGCACAUAUUUUUCCGGAAAGUUAUGCAAUGAAUUGUUAUUUUCAUGUGCAAGCUAAUGUUAAACAAAGGUGUGUCUUGGAUUGUAAAUAUCCUUUGGGCUUUAAAAAGGAUGGGAAAGAGGUGAGCAAUCGCGAUGUGGUGAAGAAGAUAAUGAAGGCAUGGAAAGCUAUGGUUGAAUCGCCCACUCAACAGUUAUAUUCAAAUGCAUUAGUGGAGUUCAAAGAUUCAUGUAGUGAUUUCCCAAUUUUUGUAGAUUAUGCCAUGACCACCUUGAAUGAAGUGAAGGACAAAAUUGUGAGGGCAUGGACAGACCAUGUGUUGCAUCUUGGUUGCAGGACCACAAACAGAGUCGAAUCGGCCCAUGCUUUGUUGAAGAAAUACUUGGACAAUAGUGUGGGUGAUUUGGGUACUUGCUGGGAGAAAAUACAUGACAUGUUGUUGCUUCAGUUCACCGCUAUACAAACAUCCUUUGGUCAAAGUGUUUGCGUGUUGGAACAUAGAUUCAAAGAUGUCAGCUUGUACUUGGGGUUGGGUGGUCAUGUGUCUAGAUAUGCCUUGGACAACAUUGCUUUGGAAGAGACACGUUGUAGGGAAACAUUGUGCAUGGACAAUGACAUUUGUGGUUGUGUUCAAAGGACAUCUUACGGGCUACCAUGUGCAUGCGAAAUUGCUACUAAAAUCCUUCAAGAGAAGCCAAUUUUAUUGGAUGAGAUAUACCACCAUUGGCUUAGGUUAUCUAUGGGUGAAGAAAGUAAUGAAGUAGCUUUUUGUGUCGAGGUUGAGUUGAAGGCUAUUGUAGACCGUCUAAAGAAACUCCCUUUCCAAAUGAAGCUUGAGGUCAAACAGGGUUUGCGGCAGUUGGCAUUUCCUGAAACCACCUUGAUGUCUCCACCACCACGAAAAGUACCAACCAAGGGAGCAAAGAAAAAAGUCGACAUUGCGAGGUCUAAAGGAAAAAUUACAUCGACUAGUCGGAUCCCUUCUUCUUGGGAGGUUGUUGAUUCCCAAAAUCCGGAUAGUCAACCGUCACCAUCACCAACAACAUCAUCGUAUAAAAGGAAAAAAAGGUGCUCGUCUUGGUAAAACAUCACUUUCCCCACUUCCACUACCUACUCGGUAUCCAAAGCCUAAGGCUAUCCCGGUUAUGCGUCCUAUUGAUUAUAUGUCACGCUUCAUGCUUCCAUUUAUUGAAAAAGUGGUGGAUGUUAUCAGCGACGGACAUUGCGGAUUCCGGGCUAUAGCCGAGUUCAUGGGCUUGACCGAAAAAAAUCAUCUCAUGAUCCGUACACAUCUUAUUCAAGAGUUGAUGGAUCAUAGAGAUGAUUAUGUUGAAGUAUUUGCGGGUGAGGAUCGUUAUAACUACAUUUUAAACGGAUUACAUCCUCCCGCAAAUACAAAAACUUGUGCAUAUCUUGUUGAUAAGUGGUUGACUUUUCCGGACAUGGGACACCUUGUUGCUAAUUAUUACAAAAUGUGUGUGGUGGUGUUGACAAAUCUUGAAGUUGGAAAGUCGGAAUCGUUUUUCCCACUAAGAGGGCCACCACCGCCGGGUAAUCAAAAAACUCCCAUCUUGUGCCUUGGGGCAAUUCCAAAUCAUUUUGUGCUUAUUUCCUUGAAGAAUGGUUGUCCACUACCUCCAUCAUCUACGGAGUGGCACAAUCACAAGAAAGAAGAUGCGGCGACUUGGGAAGAUGAGUAUUUGGAUCAACAUGAGUUGUUCCGAAAGCUCAUGGCUAUUGAAAGUGGAAACAAACCGUCCAAACCACAAAAGGAGUCAAACAAAGCGGCGCCUAUUUUGUUGGACACUCCCGAAAAACCAAAGCCAAAAUUUGAAGUUAUUGCGGAAGAUGAGGAAGAUUCUAUGUCACUUGAUCUUCUCCAAUCACUUGGUCUUUAAUGAGUGAUUUUUUUGUCGGUGUUAGUUCUUUUUUUUGGUAGAAAUUACACCGAUGUAUUUUUUGGGGUCGAAAUUGUAACGCCAAUUUUUUGGUGGCCAAUAUAUAACUAACAUAAUGUAAUUUAUAUUUAUAUAUAUAUAUAUAUAUAUAUAUAUAUAUAUAUGAUAAUAUGACUUUUAUGUGGUGAAAAUAAUGCAAUACUUAUUUAUAGCUUUUUAAUGUUUACGCAUUUCAUUUAUUCGUUAUUACAUUCCAUUUAAUUUUGUUCUAAUAUAUGAUUCUUUUGUUACAAAAAUUUUCAAGUGAGACAUGUCUGAGGUUGCACAAAUUGAAGGUCGGGUUAGGUACUCCGCGUUUAAAAAGACGGUUAAGGUUAUGAUAACGCUGACGGACUCUCUUGACAAUUUGAAGGCACAACUUAACACUUAUUUUGAGCAUCUUGGUGAAAAUCAAUAUACACGUCACUUGUUUGGUCAAAUGCCUUGCAUAGACCUAGGAGAAGAUAGAGAUGAAUACGCAUGGAAAACGGCAAGCUAUAUGCCUUUGCUUAUUCGCGAUGACGGCGACGUCGGAUUUAUGUUUCGGAAUAUGGUGGAAGAUAAUAUAUUAUAUAUGUAUGUUUGUUCCAUAUGUAAUUGCGUUGAAUGUAAGUAGGGAUUUAAUUUAUUGAUGUGUAAUGAGUAGUUUAAUUAUGGACACUUUGUAAUGUUUUGAUGAAUUUCAAACGUUUGUUUAAUGUUAACCAAAAUGUCGGUUAAAUUUAAUUAUGAACAAUUGUAAAAGAUAUUGUAUUUAUCUUGAUUAUGACCGAGUUUCAAUAUUGUAUGAAUUAUUUAGCCUUUGGAAAUUGUCUGGUUUAAUUACAGGUAAAAACUGGCCGGAAAAAUGGCUUGGAAAUGUCUAGAAUUAUGCAGAACCCACUGUCUGCAUAAUCAGUUUUCCUAACUGCCGAAGUUUGAAGGAAACCGGCGGUAGUUAACUGCCGAGGAAAACCUCGGUAGUUAACUGCCGAAGAAAAUGUUAUAACAACACAACAUAGGAGUUUCCAAAACUCCAUUGUUGCGUUUUUGAGUAUCCAAGUUGCGAUUUUGAAUCAUUUGAAGACAUUACAAGCCAAUUUCAAUCACAAAAACAAGUAAGUUUUUUGAAUCCUAUUGCAUUGUUGCUUUGUGGUCGAAUUGUAUGUUAUUUUUUGUUAAAUUUCGAUUAUAUAGGUUCGAUUAUGUUGAUUUCAUGAUAUUUUAGGAUAGUUUAGGUUAGAAUGGUUAGAAUUGUUAGGAUAGUUUAGGUUAAUAUAGGUUGAAUUGAUCGCCAUUUUGUUUUGAAUGUAGAUAUGUCUCAGAAUCAGAAUCAGGGUAACGUUCAUGGUGAUGAGAAGAAAAAAGAAAAAUCUUCUAUGACGUGGCAUGGAAUUGUUUGCGAUGGUUCCGAAAAAAAAAAUGGUUUGAAGGUGCCAGUGUACAAUCACUCGAGGUUGAGGAGUAGCGGGAGGACAUGCUAUUUCGGUCCUCAACCAAAACAAGGUACCGCAGGGACUGUAGCGGACAAGCCGAUUGAUUUGUGUGACGAGGAAGAAUGAAUGUAAUGGCUUUUAAUGCCUAAUUGUUUUGGAUUUUUUUAUGUUUUAUUUUUGUGUCGCGCACAUUUUGUUUGACAUUAUGGUAUUUAGAAUAAAAUUGCAUUUGGAAUAAAUAAAUUUGAAAACAAAAUAAGAUAAUUAUUGUUCCAUUCAAAACAAAAUAUAUGUUAUCACAUUACAUUGCAUUACACAUUAGAUUCUGAAAUUUUCCUUCCAGCUGCAACAAUCAUCUUACCACUGAAUGGGGCAAAUUUAAACUUGCUAAGCAGCAGGACUCCAGUAUUCGAUCAGCAUCUUGAACGCUGGUAUUCAAGUGUCAAAAGAAUGAGGUGCAUUCCUUGACACUUGAAUACCAGUGUUCAAGAGGCUUAUCGAAUACUGGAGUCCUGCCGAUUAACAAGUUUGAAUUGCCCCAUCCAGAGUAAGACAAUUGUUGCAGUUGGAAUGUGCAUUCCAACCACAACAAAUUGUGUUACCUUUGAAUGAGAUAAAUUCAAACCUGCAAAACAAUAGGGCUCAAGCAUUUCACCCGGCAUUCAUGUUUUCCUUUGAAAAGAAUAAAUUUUUGUUAGGCGUGCUUUAGACGUUGGUAUUCAAGUGCCAACGAAAUGAGGUUCAUUCCUUCACGCCUAAUACCUUCAUCUAAACCAGCCUAACAAGAAUUUAAUCUUUUCAAAGGAAAAACAUGAAUGCCGAGCGAAAUGCUCGAGUCCUGUUGUUUGGCAGGUUUAAAUUGAUCUCAUUCAAAGGAAGACAAUUGUUGUGGUUGGAAUGCACCUUACCCUAACUAAUGACGAUCUUCUGGCGGAAUCAAACUUUUGAUGAUAUCUUCAGUUGAUCUAACCAACUUCACCCGCAUAUCGAUCCACUGGAACAUGUUGUGCUCCCAAAACAUGGUCGUGACGUUUUCGUCGUUCGUUAAUUCCACCCAAGUGAAUGAUACUCUCCCCUCGUCGAGCGUUGGACGUUUAUACCAAACGUGUUCCACCAUCCUUGUGUCUUUGGGGUUGACUCCUUGGUUGAAUUCAGUCAGUUUAUCUUUGAGACCUCUUAACGUUACACCAAGGCACCGAACCUUCAACCUUUGAGGUUCUCCACCGUUGAAUUGCGCAUGAAGGUCGAUCCACCCGGCCAUUGUUUUUAAUCUACACAAUAAGAAACUAAAAACAAUCAAUCAAAAACUCAUUCAAACAUUUCAUCGAACACUUGAUGUGCACACUAUACCCUAAAAUUCAUAAAAAUAACCCUAAAAUUAUAAAUCAUAUACUCUUACUAAAAUAAAAAAAUUAAUCAUAUAACAUAAACAUCAUGCAAAUAUUUUAACAACAUUAAUCAACUAACAUAUACCCUACAAAUUAAUUAUAACAUGUAAAUCUACUAACAAAUAAUAAAUGUACUCAAAAACUAAAAAAUCAAAACAUUUAUAACAACUAAAAUAUAAGUUAAUAGCAUUAUAAUUACUUACUUGUGAUUUUGUUGAAAAAAGUUGGUUGGAUUUGGGUGUGUUUUUUAGAGAGAGUUUGAGAGAAAUUUGAAGGAAUUAUUGAGAUGGUAGAUCUCCUGGAUAAUGUAUAAGAGGAGAUUCUGCCAGAUUUUGUAGGGCAGGAGAUCCUCGGCAGUUAACUACCGAGGUUUUCCUCGGCAGUUAACUGCAGCCGGAUUUUUCAAAAUUUCGGCAGUUAACUGCCGAAGAAAACUGACGAAGAAAACAUCGGUGGUUAACUGCCGAGGAAAUUUUAACAUCCAAAACUUCACAAACUACUCAAUUUCUCUCAAAUCUUCGCCAAAUCUUCUUUCACGAAUUGCGAGCAAAUCAACGGGACACUUAUAUUAUAUAGUAGUGUUCAAAUUUGACUAGACAACUAAAACUUUGUCAUUAGUAAUAAAAUACUACUACUACACUCUAGGAUAAAAAUAACGAUCACGUCUCAUUGAAAAUUGUUUAUUAUCAAUACAUGAAGUUACAAGAACAAACUUUAAUUUUUAUGCCGAUUAAAUCUUCAUCAUUCUAAAAAACAUUUCAAUGUCAUUCUAAAUUAUUUUGAAAGCCAGAUUUUUACAAAAACGUUUAAAAUUCAUCAUAACGGUUUAAAUAGCAAAAAAAUAUUGGUGCAAAUGCACAACUUAAUUAAACCAACAAUUUUGUACAUUAAACAAAGUAAAAAAAGCCCAUGAAAUUAAAAAUAAUGUCAUCAAAGUAGAAAUAUACAAAUAUACAUAACUCAAUGUCAUCAAAAGACUAAAACUUAAAAAAUAAGUCCUAAAAAAGGAAAAUAGUACUACUGGGCCUGAUCCUGCUGAUGGUGCCUCCUCCUCGGCCUCUGGGCUCUCCUCCUGGUCAAAAUCGGCGUGAUCUGCUCCCUCAUAUGGGUCAUGGCCUCAAACCACUGCUGAGGGGUCAUGCUCAUGACCUCCUCCUGGCCUAACUGCGCAUCAGCGUAGGCAACAGCGCCACUAACCAUGUCAUAGGUGUCAGGCGAGCUUCUCGCCUCAUACCGCUCCCACUGGUCUGCAAUGAUCUGCUCUUCAUUUGCAGGCCUCAGAAGAUCUCCUGGAAUAGGUGGCAAGAUCUGAGGGUGAGACACCCUAGUGUACCAUAUGACAUAGCCAUCCGCCACCCGCCAUGUAUCCUCUCCUGCCUGCUCACCCCGAGCGUCCGCCUUAAGCGUGUGAGUGCGGAAGUCGACGAACAUCUGCACAAUGGAAGGCGGGGGGAGCUCCCUAACAUCAGUCGGAUGUCUGGGGAUGGUCUGCACGUAUCUGUACUGCCUCAAAACCCUCUCGGGCAAGUGAUGGUACACCCUACGGACGCCGCACAUAAUCCAUCCAGAAUACCAGAAAACCUCCUCGAAGUCCUGGAUCUCUCUGUGCUCCUCGUACGGCCUCCAGCAUACAUCAUCUAACUGUAUACGAUCGAGCAGUGACCGAUACGUGAUCCCCUCCCCAUGACCCUUCUGGAGCUUCCACCUCGCUGCAACCGGAUAGUUUUCCAGGUAGUCAGUGUUGAGAUCAACACUGAAAAACCCUGGAAAAUGCGCCAAAAACCAUGCCUGCACAAACCAAACAAAUAACAUUUAUAAAUUAUUACGCACGGAAAAAUAUAACAAAAAAAUAAAAGUUAACAAAAAAAUAAAGUUAACAUAAAUAUAAAAUUUCAGUUUUCUUACAGUGAGCAGUGUCACGCUCCCCCCAAGCGCUCUGUGUCCAGGCCCACAUGCAUCCGCCAACUCGCCGUAUAGGUAGGCGAGGGUCAUAGCUCCCCAGGAAUAAUUACGCAUCCCUGCGUAGCCGUCCGCCAUGGUCGUCAAAUAUAUCAGCUCGAUGCGCUUGUUGCUUCUAUCGCCAAACAACAAGCAUCCGACCAAGUACAGAAGGUAACACCGGACGCAGUAUGUCCUGACCCUCGCCAGCUCCUCAAGCUCCUCAGGAUCCUCCGUACCCGCCAAUACGUUGGCCCUACCAAGGUACGAGGUAUAGAAGUCCCUCAGCCUGGGGUAGCUAAUGUACCCACCGUAUACCUGGUUGCAGAUCUUCUCAGCCUCAUGAUGGGCCACACCCAGAUACGUCAUCAGCAAUGCCGCUCCCUCAUGCUUGGGCAUCUUCUUCCCAUGAUCCAACAUCCGCCCCUCAAUAGGAAGAUGCGUGAGACAUGCGACAUCAUCCAAUGUCACAGUCAUCUCCCCCAUCGGCAUGUGGAAGGUGCUGGUCUCCGGAUGCCACCUCUCGCAUAAAGUAAGCAGCAGGGCAUGAGGCACGAUGGAGUACCCCAAGUAAACCAAAUCAUGUAGCCCGCUCUACUGAAGCGCAUCCCAAAACCAAUUCUCAUUCCCGUUAGGGCGUCCGAGAGUGAGAAUCUUUGCCCCAUGAUUAAUCGGUUUAAGCACGCGGGUCUUACGAACCUGAAAUAAUAGAAAAAUAAAUAUGGAUAUAAUAAUUAAACAUAAAAACACAUAACAGUGUAUAUAAUAAUUAAAAACACAUAUAAACAAAACAAUUAAACAUAAAAAAUAGAAUUAAAAAAAUAAACAUAUAACAGUGUAUAUAAUAAUUAAAACAAACACACAUUUAAAGAAAAUAAUUAAACAUAAAGAAAAAGAAUUAAAAAAAACACAUAUAGAGGUGAAUAUAAUAAUAAAAACAAACACACAUUUCAAGAAAAUAUUUUAACAUAAAGAAAAACCAAUUAAAAAAAACACAUAUAAAAGUGGAUUUAAUAAUUAAACAAACACACAUUUAAAUAAAGAAAAUAUUUUAACAUAAAGAAAAACAAUUAAAAAAAUACACUUACAUUAUUUGAAUUAUACCAGAGUGGCAACGCCACAUGACCGGCAUAAGAGUGGAGCAAGGACAAGUCAGCCGGUCCACCAGGAAAGGGAGGGUCCGUAGGUAACACCUCCGGUGCAGCAGCUGCUGCAAUGUCAUCCUCGUCUCCUGCAUCCUGCUGCUGUGGUAUAUGAUCCUGGUCAUAUCCAUCAUCCGUCACAUCAUGUUGUACCUGAUCCUGAUAGUUCAGGUACUCCACCCCAGUCUGGUCAACAGGCUGUGACGGGUCAACAACCUGUGACUCCUCAGGCUGUGUAGCCUGAGAGCUUCCUGAGUCAUCUCCCCUCCGACCUCUACCCCUCUUUGGGAUGUGGCCGCUCUGUCUCUCCCCUGCGGUGGCUCUGAGUCAUGGCACGCCUACCACCAAUCAUCUUCGAUGGAUCAAUGGGGUCCUGAUCGGCCAUAUCUACAAAAAAUAAAAAUAAAAAAUUAAUAUCAUUCAACCACUUUAUCAACAAACAGUAAACCUAAACAAAACCUACACUUUCACAUUCAACCUAAACAUAACAUAAACAUAACCGCUUUCACAUUAAACCACUUUACCAAAAUAAAGACAUUGAUUGAACCAUAAACAUUAUCAUACACAUUAUCAUUAACAUUCAAACGCAAAAAAUCAAAUGCAUUAUCAUACACAUUCAACCUAAACUAAACAUAAUUCAAUAUACACAUUCAACCUAAUUCAAUAUACACUUUUUCAAUAUGCAUUCAACUUAAUUCAACAUACACGUUUUCGAAUUACAAUCAAGAUCGUAUCCAAUACCUAAACUAACUAAAUAAUCAAUAAAAUUGUCAUUGACACAUUUUAUCAAACACUUUGUGUGCAAAGUAUCAAACAUACUCAAAAUGUGUUAUUUUGCCACAAUUCAAAACCACAUUAUACCCUAACAUCAUUCAAUCAUCAAUUAAACCAACUACAUUCAAUUAUAAACUACAUGCACUCAUAAAAAAUUCAAUUCCUACAUCAACCCUAACCACAUGAAAACUACCAUUUUUUUUAAAAAAAAAACCUACCCAAACUAACAUUAUGAUAAAAAAUGAGUCAAGAUACUUCUCUUGGCUUUUUCUCCCUUUUUCCAAAACUGAUUGUACGUACGUUAUGUUUUUCUAAAACUAGGUUUUCUCUUUUUAUAUCUCCUCCAAUCUAUUUUAUCUUAUUCCACUUAUACCACUAAACUCUCUGAAUUCACAAAACAGCCCCCCUCUCAAUAUUUAUUCUAUUUUCAAAUCUUAUUUUAUUAAACAAUAAAAUAAGUCACUACACCCCAUUCUUAUAAAUCAUCUCAAUUCACCACAAAUCACUUAUAUAUUAUAUAAAUAUAAUAUAACUCACCUAAAUAGCUCUUAGACUCAAUUAAAUAAUUAAAUAAUUCGAUACGGGCGUUACACAAUCUACAUAUUACCAUAAGCUUAAAAAGUUUCUAAACGUCAAUCAAAAUCAAUGUCAAUGCACACUUUGAGGUCUUUUAGGGUUAUAACAGAGCUUAUGUGAAGGUGGGAUAAUAUUUGGAUAAGUAGGCUACAUAAAAUUUGAGUUAGGCAUUCCUACGGAAGUUAAGCGCAAAAUUCAAUAUAUCAUUCAUCACCUUUUGGAACAACAAUUCUUGCAAGGGUACUAGAGAUUAUUUAUAAUAAUUGGGACAAUCGAGUUUGAAGUUACUCGGUUUUUCAAUGUCUUGUCCCUUUUUCAUUCUAUUUUUUUUUUUAAUACACCAUUUUUGGCAUAUUGUUUUCAUGAGAAUGUUCUUUUUUUUUCUUUGUUCUCUAGUAUCCCCACCCCAAACUUAGUUGGUUGCAAAUUUCAAUAGCAACCCAAAACGUUACGUGUAGGAUUGAUCUAAUGGCUGACAAACAUCCAAAGGCACAUGCCUUUCCACACGUUAUGGUGGGAAUGAGCCGGGCCGAGCCGGGCUUUGCUUAAAUAUGUCUGGCCUAGUUGAAAAAUCUAAGGCCUAAACCUUGGCUUUUUACCUGUCAAAGGCUUUAUUUUAAGCCUGACAUGGCCUUUUUAAAAGCUUGGCCUAGCCUAUUAGCCUAUCUAAAAGCCUAGUUUGUGUUACAAAUUUCAAAUAGAGUCUAUUCAUCCAUUUUUCUUUCUUUUCAAUUUGUGCAAGGUACUUAAUGUAGAGAUAAACAUUAAUUAGAUACAAAUUAAACCAAUAAAGCACAAUCGUAAAAUUUAAAGAUGGAUAGAAACUCAAGAAUAGUCAUGUCUCAUGACAAGAAGGAUUUCAAACUUAAUCUGAUAACCAUACUUAACCUUAGGCAUAUUUGAACCAAGCCUCAAAAGUUCAUACAAAUCAAAUAACAAUAUGAGUAUUUAGUGAUGAUUUAACAAGUUUCCAAAUAGUAAGAAACUAAAAACAAAAUCAGCACUUUAACACGAAAAAAAUGCAUAAAAUCUUCAAUGUGAUAAAAAAAAGGUUUAAUACAUGCUUUGAUCCCUUAACUUAUUUUUGGUUUUCACUUUGGUCCCCUAACUAUAAAGUGUCUCAAUUUGGUCCCAUAAAUCUUCUGCCGUUUACUAUUUUGGUCAUCUCCGUUAUUUUUUUUUUCUUCAAAAAGUGUUAACCCCUCUAAAAUGAGUGAUCAAGAGCUGGAUUUAGAGAGCGCACAGAUAUACAAUGAACUCAAAACAUAGGACUAUUUAUAUUGAAUUUCCUAAAAUUUAAAAUUAAAAUAGAAAUAAAAAAUAAUAAAAAAAUUCUAUAGUCAUACCAACAAAUUUGUGUUUUCUUCAUCCAUAGUCAUACCCAUUUUAAUUCAAAAUCCAACACAUAUCCAUUUUAAUUCAUCCACAAAUUCUUGACACCCAUUAUUGUAAUGGAGAAUGAGAGAUUGUUCUAUAGAGAAAUGGUUUUGACAGGGACAGUUUCAGAGUUUUCAAAGUUCAAACGCUUGAUCCAAAAACAAUGCCAAGCCAAAAAUUCAUAAACAAUAAAGAAAGGAAAACAAUCCAGAUGUGCAAUGUUUCUUCUUCUCCUUUCCUUCCAGGAUUGUUUUUCACGUUUCAUUAGAAAAGAAAGAAGAAAAAAUAAAUUCAGAUCUACAAAUUUGAUAAGAAGAAAAAAAAACCCCAGACCAUCAAAUCGAUCUGAGAUUGGAGACGAAGGAGAUCGCUUUCUGUUGUUAGAAAAAAAAAAACCACCUCUUCAAUUCCUUACAUGAGCUUGUUUUUGUUGGUGAUUCAAUGAGAGUCUUUGAUUUGUAUGUUUGAUGAAAGGGUUGUUGUGUGGACUGUGGAGGAUCUAUUUUGUUAUGAAAGAUUUUUGAAAAUGAUUUCUUUUGGGUUUAACGAAGAUGAACGAGAAGGAUGAAGGAGAAGAAAUUCAUGUUGCUGGAAAUCAUAAUCGCAUGCCUCUUCAUUUUUCCUUUCCUCUUUUUUUUAAUUCAACAAAUACGCUUUUUUUCUGCAUAUUGAAUGUUUUGAUUUUUUUUUUUUGCAAUAUUUUAUGGAACUUGAUGUGUUGGGGCUAUAGAAUUUUGUAAUUUUCUGAAUUUUUGUUUAAGAUGAAGAUUAAUAAAGAUGCAAUGAAGAAGAUUGAUAAGGGAAGAAGAUGAAGAAAAUACUUAGGUUGUUGUGGUUCAUUAUAAGCUACAAUAGAUCCCUUAAUGAUCCAAUCUUUAUUUAAAAAAAAGAUCAAACGGUUAAAUUAAAAAUUUUAAUAAAGUUUAUGGUAGACCACCUGUAAAGUUCGUCCACCUUAGACAUUUAAGGUUAAAAACUAACGGAAGAGACCAAAAUUAUAAACGGCAGAAUAGUUAUGGGAUCAAACUGAGACACUUUAAAAUUAGAGGACCAAAAUGAAAACCAAAAAUAAGUUAAAGGACCAAAGCAUGUAUUAAGCCUAAAAAAAAUUAGCAACUUAAUAUGAAAAUUUGAAGUAACUGUUAUUUUUAUUUUUUGUAUUACUAUGUAAAUAAUAAAUAUGGGAAAAUGUAACAUACUCAUAUACAGGCCGAUCUGAUAGGUUUGAUAGGCUUUUUUUAUAAGCCUAAACCUAGCCAUUUAAAUUAAUAAGCUUUUUGAAAAGCUCAUGCUUAACCUAUUUAUUAAACAAAUUAGGUCGGAUCGAGCUUUCAGUAGGUCGAACCAUAGACUCCUAAUGAGCGGCUGGCCUAUUCCCACCCUAAUUGCGAUCCGCAUUGCAUGCUGAUGGGUAAUAAUAAUGGAGUUUUUUUUUUUUUUGAGGGAGGUAAUAAUAAUUGAGUGUUUGUUCAAACUUGACAUGGGGUAUCGUGGAUGGAUAGAUAAGGACCGAUUAAACUAUAGAAGCACGUCACUUAUUAUCCUGUUCCCAUGGAACCAUGAGAUACACAGAUUGGAUUAAACAAAUCUAAAGAUAAGAUAAACAACUUACACAUGCAAAUCAUGAAUUGAUAAUAAUUUAGUUAAUUACUUCCUCUGUUUCACACUGUCCAUUUAGCAAAUAAACCGUAGCUUUGGGUUCUUCUUGACACGAGAAGAAAAAUCCAGAUUUUUUUUUUGGGGUGAAAACACACAAGGCUUUUCCACGUAGAAAAAUGCUUUUUUAGAAGGAAAUUGAAAAUAAAAGUUAAGUUGCACAAAUUUGAUGAGAUAAAUGACUGAAUUGACCAAAAAUAACUUAUGUGUUUUAAACUAGGAAGUCUAUACACUUUAAAUUGGAGAUCUACCUGUAUUGAAUAUUGAUAUUUCAUGGAUAUUUACGAAGUAUUGAAAUUGAUUAUUUUAAAGAGAAUAUUAACCGGUGUCUCUGGGGCAUUGAUUAAGCAGCUAAAAGAAAUAAAAUUUUAUUAAAAGUGGUGUAAUAAUUAAUUUGUCAAAAGUAACGGUUUAUAUUUUCAAGACAAUUUUUUUACUUAUGAAUUCCUUAACCAAUGCAUCAGGGGUAUCGGUUAACAAGACCCUUAUUUUAAUUUUUUCAAAAAUAUCUUAUCAGAUAUUUGUAUGAUACUCCACAUAUACACAAGGAUACUUGUAAGGUACUUCACAUACACGUAUCAUAAGAAAAGAUGAAGGGAAAAAAGUGAGACAACGUUGUAAAAAUUCAAUAGAGAUGUAUAUGAUUCAAUUUUAGAUAUGUUUUGUAGAUGAAGGUAACAAGAGAGGUGAUUCAAUUAUUCAACAUUAGAUAAAAUUUGUGUUGAGUUCUUUUAAUGAUGCUUAUCUUGAUAUCCCAACAUAUGAAAAUAUAAUAUGAUUUAUAAGAAAACUUUACAUUUUAUUUUAUUUUAAUCACAUGUAUUAUUUUUUAUAAAUUGCGACUUUUAUAAUAAUAUAACAAUGAGUAAUAAAUAUUUAUUUUCUUCAAGUAUUUUACAUGCAUAUGAGUAUAAGUUUUAGUAUAAAUUUUUUGUUAACGUAUCUUUAAUGUAUAAUAUCUUAAAUUUAAAAAAAAAAAAUCGCGUAUCCACGUACCUGUAUCAUAUGGUACCCGCAUCCGUACCCGUGUAUCCGGGCUUUAUAGGUUCCAAAUAAAUAAAAUAAAAGAUGUUGAAGUAUUUUUCUAUUAAUUUAUUAAUGCAUCAAUUAUUUUUUGUGGGAUUAUUAGUGUAUCAAUUAAUACUCCUAUUAUAUUCAUAUGAAGAUGUGCAUCAUGUGAUGUGAAAACGACAAGAACAGUAUAGUUCCGCUGGCUAAAUUUAUUUAUUUAUUUUUCCGUUGAUUUUUCAAUGGGUUAGUAAUUAUUUAAGUUAUUAUAUUUGUGGGAGAACGUGCAGAGUAGCACUGCCUAAAUCCAUUAAUUUAUUACUAAGUUUCUCUUCCCAACAUGUAUCUAUCUACAAAGUCUAGUCCAAAUCCAAACAUAGUUUCUCAGAGUUUAUUGCUUUUGAACUCAAACAAAAAAAAAAGAGCUUUCUUCAUUGUCUUUCAGUUUUUUUGUUAUUUUCCCAUUCCUGUGGCAAAAAAAAAAAAAAAAAACUCAAAAUCAAAACUCAAAAAUAGUGUUUGAAUUGUCUGAAUUUUUGCACCAGUGGUUAGAGGUAGGUACGCAUUAGUUAAUUUUUUUUUUCUCCUUCAAUAAUAGAGAGUAAAAUCAAAACUCUAAACUUUGCAAUUUGAGAUUGAAGUUUGUUUUAAUAUUUUGCUGCUGUUGUUGUUCUUUGCAGAUCAUUCUUUUGAAGUCAAUUUGCAUUAGUCUUGUAGAUCGCAUCAUCAGUAGCACCAGAGUUGUUCCAUUGAUUCUCCAUUGUUUCAUAAUUCAGGUAAGAGGUACAUGCUCUUCAAUGUUAAUGCAUGCUCAAACCUGAGUUCAAACUCAAUACUUUUUUGUUUUUUUCUUCUGCAAUGAAACUAAUCCUCGAGUCAGCAACAAUUUAUCUCAAUUUUUGUUGUUAAUAGGGCUAGACUACCUAUCAAUUGGAUGUAGGGCUGCCAAUGAACCAAGACAACUUGAAUAAAGUUUGGAACUCGACUCGGUAAUUAGUUCAUUUAACUUGGUUCAUGAAUCAAACGAGCCGAACUUGAGCUAAAGAUUAAGUUCGUUAAGUAAAUGAGUUGAAUUUGAGUUAUAUAUAGUUCGACUCAUUUGGUUCAUGAACUGGCUCGAAUAUAUAUAUAUAGUAUUUAACUAAUAGCAAUAGUAAAAUAAUAGAAGCAAUAUAAAACAACAAUGGUAACAGAGUGGACCUGGAUAGUUUUUAGCAAUAGAAAUAUGUUGCUUGUAGUGCCAUGGUGUUUUAGCAAAGCUACACUACUUUGUUUUUGUCCCACAUCGAAAAGUAUUUGAGGUAGAUACAACAAUACUUGUCUAUAAAGGAAGCGGCAUUGAUGUAGUCCUAUUCGCCUUAGUUUUUAUUUUAUUUUUAAAAUAGGUCUAAAAUAUGCAAUUUUUAAAUAAAAAAAUAAAUUUUAAAAUUAUGUGAUUCGAGCAAAUGAACCUAACGAGCUGAACAGAGUUGCUCGUGAAUUUUAAAUGAGUCGAACUCGAGCCGGAAAAAAAGUUUGUUUCAAACUCGAGUCGAGUUUCGAGCCGAACCAAUUCUAAUCGAGUCGAGCCGAGCUUAGGACAUUUAUUAAGAAGAUAAAAAUAGAAAUAAUUGAUGAGUUUAAUGAAGUCAAAGUCAAUUUUUAAAGUUUCAAUGUAAUGAAUGCACAAUUCUUAAGAUAAAGUUUCUCAUUAAACUUCUUAUGAAGGCCUAAUGACACUUGUUACAUUUUCAUAUUUUUUAUCGGUUACACAUGAUUGUAAUAAAAUUCAAUUUGCAAAGUCUACCUUUUAUUACCAGAUCACAAUAAUCAAGUCAACAAUUCAGUUGACUGAAUAGCUUAGCAUACAAGUUACUCUUAUUAACAUAGCUUAGCUUAGUUUACUUUUGAUAUGCUGCUUGCUACCUUAUGAUUGCUUAGUGUACAGCAUCAGCAAGCUAUAUAAACUCCUUGUACUCAUUGAUUACUCAAGUAAUAACACUAUAUUUUUCACUUCAUAACUCUCUCUCUCUCUCUCUCUCUCUCUCAUGAGAGAAUUAGUUACGAUCCAUUUUUUUCUAAUUCAAACCAAAGCAAAUGUUCUAUUUAAUAAUUGCAGUUUUAAGUUGAAAAUAAGAGUAAUGUGUUAAUUUCCAAAUGUUUCCCUUGUUUCUUUUGCCUUCAUCCAUAAAUAGUAUCUUUUACUUUCACUUUCAGGUUUUGACUCAAGUCACAAGGAAGAGGAGAAGAAACAAAAAUCAAUGGAAAUUUUAAUUUCUGUUGUUGCAAAAAUAGCAGAAUAUACUGUUGUGCCUAUUGGACGUCAAGCAAGUUACUUGAUAUUCUACAAAGGUAACUUCAAGACGUUAAAGGAUCAUGUUGAAGACCUUGAGGCUGCAAGAGAAAGAAUGAUCCAUUCGGUUGAAAGAGAAAGGGGAAAUGGUAGAGACAUUGAAAAAGAUGUUCUGAAUUGGUUGGAGAAAGUGAACGAGGUCAUUGAAAAGGCGAAUGGGCUUCAAAACGAUCCUCGUCGUCCCAAUGUUAGGUGCUCAACAUGGUUGUUCCCCAACUUGAUUUUACGUCAUCAACUAAGUAGGAAAGCCACAAAAAUUGCAAAAGAUGUUGUUCAAGUUCAAGGAAAAGGGAUUUUUGAUCAAGUUGGUUACCUUCCCCCUCCAGAUGUAUUACCCUCCUCCUCACCAAGAGAUGGUGAAAAUUAUGACACAAGGGAGUCGCUUAAGGAUGACAUUGUGAAGGCUUUAGCAGAUCUUAAUUCACAUAACAUUGGAGUCUAUGGGUUGGGUGGGGUGGGUAAGACCACUCUGGUGGAGAAAGUUGCUCUAAUAGCGAAGAAAAACAAAAUGUUCGAUAAAGUGGUUACAACACAUGUAUCUGAAAACCCAGACUUUAAAACAAUUCAAGGAGAGAUUGCAGAUUCUUUGGGUUUGCAAUUCGUUGAGGAGACUGUUCUUGGCAGAGCAAAUCGCCUAAGACAGAGAAUCAAGAUGGAGAAAAAUAUCCUUGUCAUUUUAGAUGAUAUUUGGAGUAUACUUGAUUUGAAGAAAGUGGGAAUUCCAUUUGGAAAUAAACAUAAUGGUUGCAAAUUGUUGAUGACUAGUAGAAAUCAAGAUGUGUUACUAAAAAUGGAUGUUCCAAUGGAGUUCACUUUCAAACUUGAACUUAUGAAUGAAAAUGAGACAUGGAGCUUGUUUCAAUUUAUGGCCGGAGAUGUGGUUGAAGAUAGAAAUUUGAAAGAUGUAGCAGUUCAAGUUGCCAAAAAAUGUGAAGGUUUGCCUCUUAUGGUAGUGACAGUAGCACGUGCAAUGAAAAAUAAGAGGGAUGUCCAAUCUUGGAAAGACGCACUAAGGAAAUUACAAAGUACUGAUCAUACAGAGAUGGAUGCGAUAACUUAUUCUGCUUUGGAAUUGAGUUACAACUCUUUGGAGAGUGAUGAAAUGAAAGAUCUCUUCUUGCUUUUUGCAUUACUGCUAGGUAAUGAUAUAGAGUACUUUCUCAAAGUUGCAAUGGGAUUGGACAUAUUGAAGCAUAUUAAUGCCAUUGAUGAUGCAAGAAACAGACUUUACACAAUAAUCAAAUCUUUGAAGGCGACUUGUCUUUUGCUUGAAGUUAAAACAGGUGGAAGGAUUCAAAUGCAUGACUUUGUUCGUGAUUUUGCUAUCUCCAUAGCACGCAGGGACAAACAUGUAUUUCUAAGAAAACAAUUUGAUGAGGAAUGGACAACCAAGGAUUUUUUCAAAAGGUGCACGCAGAUCAUUCUCGAUGGGUGUUGUAUUCACGAGCUUCCUCAAAUGAUUGAUUGUCCAAACAUUAAGCUUUUCUAUUUGGGCAGUAUGAAUCAAUCUUUAGAAAUCCCUGAUACUUUUUUUGAGGGUAUGAGAAGCCUUAGAGUGCUAGAUUUAACACACUUGAACUUGUCAUCAUUACCCACAUCAUUUCGGUUGCUAACAGACCUUCAAACAUUAUGUUUGGAUUUUUGCAUUUUGGAAAAUAUGGAUGCAAUAGAAGCUUUGCAAAAUUUAGAAAUUCUUAGACUCUGUAAAUCUUCAAUGAUCAAGUUGCCAAGAGAAAUAGGGAAAUUAACUCAAUUAAGAAUGCUUGAUUUGAGCCAUUCAGGAAUAGAAGUGGUCCCACCCAACAUCAUAUCAAGUUUAUCUAAAUUGGAGGAGUUGUACAUGGGAAAUACCUCUAUAAACUGGGAAGAUGUGAAUUCAAAAGUUCAAAAUGAAAAUGCUAGCAUUGCCGAACUUCGAAAACUACCACACUUGACAGCUUUAGAAUUACAAGUUCGUGAGACUUGGAUGUUGCCAAGGGACUUGCAAUUGGUGUUUGAGAAGCUGGAAAGAUAUAAAAUAGCUAUUGGAGAUGUAUGGGAAUGGUCUGACAUUGAGGAUGGAACCUUAAAAACAUUGAUGCUCAAACUUGGUACAAACAUACAUUUGGAGCAUGGAAUUAAAGCAUUGAUUAAAUGUGUUGAGAAUUUGUAUUUGGAUGAUGUAGAUGGAAUUCAAAAUGUGCUUCCUAACCUAAAUAGAGAAGGAUUUACAUUGCUGAAACAUCUCCACGUCCAAAAUAAUACUAACUUGAAUCACAUUGUCGACAAUAAAGAGAGAAAUCAAAUCCAUGCGUCCUUUCCCAUCUUGGAAACACUUGUACUUCUUAAUCUUAGAAAUUUGGAGCAUAUAUGUCAUGGUCAACCUUCAGUUGCUUCUUUUGGAAGUCUCAGUGUUAUCAAAGUAAAAAAUUGCGUCCAGUUAAAGUAUCUUUUCUCCUUUACAAUGGUUAAAGGACUUUCUCACCUUUGUAAGAUUGAAGUUUGUGAGUGCAAUUCUAUGAAGGAGAUAGUGUUCAGAGACAACAAUUCAAGUGCUAAUAAUGAUAUUACUGAUGAAAAAAUCGAGUUUCUUCAAUUGCGUUCUUUGACUUUAGAACAUUUGGAGACACUUGAUAAUUUCUUCUCAUAUUAUUUGACACAUUCUAGAAAUAAGCAAAAGUGUCAUGGUUUAGAGCCGUGUGAUUCUGCACCAUUUUUUAAUGCUCAGGUAUGUUAUUUUGUUUUUAAGUUUCUCUCGAUACAAAUGAUAAAAAUUUUAAUAUCAAUUUUCAAUAUAUAUAUAUAUAUAUAUAUAGGGUGUAUCAAAUGAGAGGAGUGUUAAAAUGAGAGAUGAUAGCAUUAAAGGACAGCCGUUGGAGAGGAGAAGGCGAGAGAAGAAAGCAAAAGCGGAAAUGAAGGGAAUAAAAGAGAUUACAGGCUGCAGAUUUAAAAAUUAAGUAACACAAUUAAGAUGGAUCCAAGGGUUGUGAUUUAACCCUAUCAUCUCUCAAUGUAAAUAUUGCUCUCAUUUGAUACAUCCCAUAUAUAUAGGUGUGUGCGUGUGUGUGUGUGUGAGAGGCCUAUCGUUAUAGUCACCAUAUCACCAUAUAUACGCCUUCAAUAAUGUUUUUGUUAAUUUGUUUUUACGUAGGUUGUAUUUCCUAAUUUGGAUACCCUUAAAUUUAGCUCACUUCUCAAUUUGAAUAAAGUCUGGGAUGACAAUCAUCAAUCAAUGUGCAACUUGACUAGCUUGAUUGUGGAUAAUUGUGUUGGAUUGAAGUAUUUAUUUCCCUCUACUUUGGUUGAAAGUUUUAUGAACCUCAAACACCUUGAAAUAAGUAACUGUCAUAUGAUGGAGGAGAUAAUAGCUAAAAAAGACAGAAACAAUGCAUUGAAAGAGGUAUGAUAAUUUUUUUUUUUUUUGAGAGAAGGUAUGCUAAUUCUAUUAUUGGAGCAUCCAAUUAAUUUUAAAUAAUUAUUUAUACUGAUGGUGGUUAUUUAUGAAUUCAUAGGUUCGUUUUUUAAAUUUAGAAAAAAUCAUAUUGAAGGAUAUGGACAGCUUGAAGACAAUAUGGCAUUACCAAUUUGAAACAUCCAAGAUGUUGGAAGUGAACAAUUGUAAGAAAAUUGUGGUGGUUUUUCCUUCUUCAAUGCAAAAUACAUAUAAUGAGCUUGAGAAGUUGGAGGUUACAAAUUGUGCUUUAGUUGAAGAGAUAUUUGAAUUGACUUUCAAUGAAAAUAACAGUGAAGAGGUUACAACACAUUUGAAAGAAGUUACUAUAGAUGGAUUGUGGAAUCUGAAAAAGAUAUGGAGUGGAGAUCCGGAAGAAAUUCUUAGUUUUCAAAAUCUAAUAAAUGUAAAAGUAGUAAAUUGUGCAAGCUUGGAGUAUUUAUUACCAUUCUCCAUAGCCACUCGUUGCUCACAUCUCAAGAAACUUGGUAUAAAAUGGUGUGAAAACAUUAAGGAAAUUGUUGCAGAGGAGAAAGAAUCUAGCUUGAGUGCAGCUCCCAUAUUUGAGUUUAAUCAACUAAGUACUUUAUUGCUUUGGAACUCACCUAAACUCAAUGGUUUCUAUGCUGGAAAUCAUACUCUAGAAUGUCCAUCAUUGAGAGAAAUUAAUGUCUCUAGAUGUACAAAGUUGAAAUUGUUCAGAACACUAUCUACAAGAAGCUCCAAUUUUCGAGAUGACAAACCCUCUGUUUUAACGCAACCACCACUUUUCAUUGCCGAAGAGGUACGAAUAAUAAACACUCUGCAGGACUUGUUUUUAUUUUAUUUUACAUUAAGGAGUUAGCGUUAUUCUUUAAUCUUUUGAAAUACCGAUCAACUACUUCCUCUGAUCCUAAAUAUAUGAAAAGUAUCUUUUCUUUAGGUUCCUUGAAUAAUUAAUGCAUUUGAACUAUACUAUAUAAACUAAAUACAUCGUUUAUUCAAUGAACCUAAAAAUAAAAAUUUCUCUGAUAUUUAGGACCAGGAGUAUUACUAUUCAUUUAUAAAUUUGGAAAAAUUUAAAACUACCCAAAAACUUUAUAAAAUGACAAAGCCUAUUUAAUGUCAAAAGUUAUUAAAAUAUUUUACAUUAUAGAUAUCUCCCUACGGUCUCGAAUGUGAGAAACAAAACAAAAAAUUUGAUGGUCUCAAAUAUAAGCAAAAAUAUACAAAAGUCGUCCUAUUAAAUGUUGCUAUUCCAAUCUCACCCUCAUUAUCUUUAUUUAAUUUGUUUCACAUUCCCAUGUUUAACACUUUCUAAAGAUUAUUCAUUGGUUUAGUUCAAAAGUCAUGUUUUCUUGUAAAAUGUUUCUAUCAUUAAUGUUUGAAUGUGUACUACUUGAGAAAUAACUCCAGAACAAGGGAAAAAAAAAUAGAAAAAUGGUAUUUUUUUAUAAUGACUUAAAUACAGUCAUUCCACUUUCUUCGUAGGUGUUCCUUUUUUUUUUCCUUACAUUCAAGAUCGGAAGGAGUACUUGAUAAUUUCUAUAACAAAAAUAACAACUAGCAAGAGUGGCAUUUAAAUACAAAAUUGAUAUAUUUGAGUAUAAAAGAAAUUGAAAAAAGUAUAGAGAUAUUGGCAAAAAUUAAAAAGACAAAUUUUAGUCAAUAGUAAUUAUUGUUUCACUCAAUAAUAAAAUGUUUAAUUCUCUUACAUUGUUGUUUAAAUAUGUUUUAGGUGAUUCCAAACUUGGAGCUGUUGAGGAUGGUACAGGCAGAUGCUGACAUGAUAUUGCAAACUCAAAACUCAAGUGCCCUCUUUAGCAAAAUGACUUCUAUUGGCUUGACUAGCUAUAACACUGAAGAGGCAAGAUUUCCUUAUUGGUUUCUUGAAAAUGUGCAUACUCUUGAGAAACUACAUGUUGAGUGGAGUUGCUUCAAGAAGAUAUUUCAAGAUAAAGGAGAAAUAAGUGAGAAGACUCGUACACAAAUCAAAACACUGAUGUUGAAUGAAUUACCUAAACUUCAAUAUAUAUGUGAUGAAGGAUCUCAAAUUGACCCAGUUCUUGAGUUCCUUGAAUACUUAAAGGUUCGUAGUUGUUCUAGUUUGACAAAUUUGAUGCCUUCCUCUGUCACACUUAAUCAUCUGACGCAGUUGGAGAUAAUAAAAUGCAAUGGGCUAAAAUAUUUAUUCACAACUCCUACGGCGCAAAGUUUAGACAAACUCACGGUGCUGCAGAUAGAAGAUUGUAGUUCACUUGAAGAAAUAAUUACUGGAGUAGAAAAUGUUGACAUUGCUUUUGUUAGUUUACAAAUUUUGAAUUUGGAAUGUUUGCCAAGCCUCGUCAAAUUUUGCUCUAGUGAGUGUUUCAUGAAGUUUCCGUCAUUGGAGAAAGUAAUUGUUGGCGAAUGUCCUCGCAUGAAGAUUUUUUCUGCCGGACACACAAGUACACCAAUUCUUCAAAAAGUCAAAAUUGCAGAAAAUGAUUCAGAAUGGCAUUGGAAGGGAAACCUAAACAAUACAAUAUACAACAUGUUCGAAGAUAAGGUAUGCUUGAUUUACAACGCGCACACGUUUGUGUGUGUACAUUGUGACCAUAUAUCGUUAAAAAGUAGUUGUAAGAAUUUUUCAAAAGAAAAGUGAAAGUAAUUGCAUUUCAAAUUUACAAAGAACAUUUUUACCUAUGUAUAUAGAUUUUGUAAAUGCACUAUAUGUUACUACUACUUUUGUUUGAACUAACUCAUAAUACAAUUGUUUUACAGGUGGGAUUUGUUAGUUUCAAGCAUUUACAACUAUCUGAAUAUCCCGAGUUAAAAGAAUUGUGGUAUGGUCAACACGAGCAUAACACAUUUAGGAGUUUGAAGUAUCUAGUGGUUCAUAAAUGUGAUUUUUUGUCCGAUGUGCUCUUUCAACCUAACUUGUUAGAAGUGCUGAUGAAUCUGGAAGAAUUAGAUGUGGAGGAUUGUAAUUCAUUAGAAGCAGUUUUUGAUUUGAAAGAUGAAUUUGCCAAAGAAAUUGUUGUGCGGAAUUCUACUCAAUUGAAGAAACUAAAAAUAUCUAAUCUUCCAAAACUGAAGCAUGUAUGGAAAGAGGUAAGGGUAUCAUUAAAUAUCAUCCUUGCUCUGAAUAUACAUAAUACUAAUUAGGCUAAAUUGCUCACUUUGAAUAGGUUUUUUUUAAGGAUGAGUUAGACCUAAUAUAAGAUUUAAUAUGGUAUUAGAGCCUAUUCUAGACCCAUUAGGUCAAUGCUUCAGACCCAUUAGGUCUGAGCAUGAGGGGGUGUGUUGGAAAUUCCUUUUAUUGCGGUUUACCUUUAGCCGCUCCGACACUUGUGCUACAUUCAUUGCAGCCUUCAACACAUUUAUUGUAUUGAAUUUGGAGGGGUGAAUUUAGACCCACUUUGCUUAGAGAUAUGGCAUGUGUAGUGUUUAUAAAGUUUGGACAAUCCUCGUUUUACAAGUCGGUAUUGUAAACAUGACUUCGGCCCAAUAUAGAAUUUAAUAUUUAUAUGACAACCCAUCUUUAUAGGCAUAUUAAUUAUUAUACAUCAAUACUAAACCCUUACAAAGAAAAACAUUAGUAAAAUAACUCUUAGCGUUUGUUUCAAGUUUACCAAAUUUAUUCCUAGGAAUAACAUUCCUUGGAAUAUAAAGAUGAGAAUUUUUAUUUCAAGGUAUUUGGAAAAAAUAUGUUUGGUUAACUUUAUAAUAUUCCUAGGAACCAUAAAAUUAGGGAUUAUAAUAGGUAACUACAUAUGAAUUUAUUCUCAUCUCCAUGGGAACUUUAUUCCCACCAUUUUCUUUGGGAAAUUUUUUCUAUUCCCAGGAACAUUUUAUAUCCGGGAAUAAAAUUUAGUAAACUUGUAACAAACGUAUACAUAUAUAUUUCUAUCAUUUUAUUCUCAGGAAUCAACAAAUUUAACUUGAAACAAACCCAUCAAUCAUCGGUUAGUGAAGCUCUUAAUAUGUAGACACUCUCUAACUAUGAUAAUCGAAUGAAGUUUAUUGCUCCUCACCUCUCAAAUUCUCUCUCCGGGUUUCUCUAACUUCACACUAAUCAAUACAACUAUUUGAACUCUUUUUUACUUGUUGUGAUUGAUUCUAGACCCAAAAUUAUGUUAGAUAUCUUGUUUGUUGGGAAGAGGCUGCUGCACUUGAAACCUGAAAUGUUUAAUGCUUACGCAUGUAAAAUUCAAAGCGCAUGGGGUUGCCACACUAACCUUUAGGUUCGAUUCGCCCCCACCAAUAACUGUAUAUUGGAUGCAAUAGGAGUUACCGGCGAAUCCCCUUCAGGAUACUAUGAGUUCCUUGACGUGUAUUGCACAACCACACCAAGCGUAUCUCCUAACAGUAUUUUACAGAUUUAUGGUUUCAGCAAUUCACUCAUGCAUUAGAGAAUUAAUGGAUGAUUUAGAGAGCAAGAGAAUGAGGGAGAAUUAUGUUGUUAAUGCAACAAAAUUCUAUCCAAAAUUGUGUGUCAAAUUAAUGCCAAGUAUUUAUAGUGCAUUAUAUGACCCUUCACAUGAGAGAAAACACCCCUUUGACUUGAAUCAAUGUUAUGGUUCAUUAAGUACCCUUUUGCCAAGGGUUAUGAUCAUACACACUUGAGUCAAUGCAAAAGUUCAUUAAGCACCUAUUUGCCAAAGGUUCCAAUGUAUAUGAAAGACUCUCAUGAAGAGUUACAACUCUUGGUGAAGAGUUACAACUUUUGGUUCUAAAGUGAUUCCAUUAUUUUGGAAAUUACCAAUAAAUUAUAAGAAAACAGGUAUAGAUUUUGGGAUGUGUAAUCCUUCAAUUAUGAUUUCUGUUAAUCUGUUUUUAUCCAUGCAGGAUGCAUUUCCUAGUUUGGAUACCCUUAAAUUGAGCUCACUUCUCAAUUUGAAUAAAGUCUGGGAUGACAAUCAUCAAUCUAUGUGCAACUUGACUAGCUUGAUUGUGGAUAAUUGUGUUGGAUUGAAGUAUUUAUUUCCCUCUACUUUGGUUAAAAGUUUUAUGAACCUCAAACACCUUGAAAUAAGUAAUUGUCCUAUGAUGGAGGAGAUAAUAGCUAAAAAGGAGAGAAAUAAUGCAUUAAAAGAGGUAUGGUAAUUCUGUUAUUGAAAACUUACAAUUAUUUUAAACUUGUACUGAUGGUGGUUAUUCAUGAAUUGAUAGGUUCAUUUAUUGAAAUUAGAGAAAAUUAUACUGAAGGAUAUGGACAACUUGAAGUCAAUAUGGCACCACCAAUUUGAAACAUUGAAGAUGUUGGAAGUGAACAAUUGUAAGAAAAUUGUGGUGGUUUUUCCUUCUUCAAUGCAAAACACAUAUAAUGAGCUAGAGAAGUUGGAGGUCACAAACUGUGCUUUAGUUGAAGAGAUAUUCGAAUUGAAUUUCAAUGAAAAUAACAGUGAAGAGGUUAUGACACAAUUGAAAGAGGUUACUAUAGAUGGACUGUUCAAGUUGAAAAAGAUAUGGAGUGGAGAUCCUCAAGGAAUUCUUAGUUUUCAAAAUCUAAUAUAUGUACUACUAGAUGGUUGUACAAGCUUGGAAUAUCUAUUACCACUCUCCGUAGCCACUCGUUGCUCACAUCUCAAGGAACUUGGUAUAAAAUGGUGUGAAAACAUGAAGGAAAUUGUUGCAGAGGAGAAAGAAUCUAGCUUGAGUGCAGCUCCCAUAUUUGAGUUUAAUCAACUAAGUACUUUAUUACUUUGGCACUCACCUAAACUCAAUGGUUUCUAUGCUGGAAAUCACACUCUGCUAUGUCCAUCUUUGAGGAAUAUUGGUGUCUCUAGAUGUACAAAGUUGAAAUUGUUCAGAACUCUAUCCAAUUUUCAAGAUGACAAACACUCUGUUUCAACGAAACAACCACUUUUUAUUGCCGAACAGGUAUGCAUAUCAUAUAAAUUUAUAUAUCAUAAUGACUCUGAUUCAUUCAGCUCUAACAGUCAUUGUCUAUUUACAUGUCUGGUAAUUAAAGUAUAAAAACAAAAAUGAAAUCUCUAAAAAAAUUAUAAAAUAUGUAUUUUUAAAUAUUUUUAAAAACGCCAUAUAAUCAAUUGAGAGCAAAAUAUUUUGAACUAUUAAUAUCAAAUGUUAUUAAAAUAUUUUACUUCAUAGAUGUGCUUUAUAAUUUCUAUAACAAAAAUAACAACUACUAACAUUGGCCAUUUCUCAAAAGUAUUUGAUAAAUUCUAUAAAAGAUAUAUGUGAGUUUAAAAGAAAUUGAAAAAAGUAGAGUAUUGGCAAAUAUUUUUUUUAAUUAUUUUACAUUGUUGUUCAAAUAUGUUUUAGGUGAUUCCAAACUUGGAAAUGUUGAGGAUGCAACAGACGGAUGCUGACGUGAUAUUGCAAUCUCAAAACUCAAGUGCCCUCCUUAGCAAAAUGACCAUUCUUGGUUUGGCUUGCUAUAACACUGAAGAGGCUACAUUUCCUUAUUGGUUUCUUGAAAAUGUGCAUACUCUUGAGAAACUACAGGUUGAGUGGAGUUGCUUCAAGAAGAUAUUUCAAGAUAAAGGAGAAAUAAGUGAGAAGACUCAUACACAAAUCAAAACACUGAUGUUGAAUGAAUUACCUAAACUUCAACAUAUAUGUGAUGAAGGAUCUCAAAUUGACCCAGUUCUUGAGUUCCUUGAAUACUUAAGGGUUCGUAGUUGUUCUAGUUUGACAAAUUUGAUGCCUUCCUCCGUCACCCUUAAUCAUCUGACGCAGUUGGAGAUAAUAAAAUGCAAUGGGCUAAAAUAUUUAUUCACAACUCCUACUGCACGAAGUCUGGACAAGCUCACAGUGCUGAAGAUAAAAGAUUGUAAUUCACUUGAAGAAGUAGUUAAUGGAGUAGAAAAUGUUGACAUUGCUUUUAUUAGUUUACAAAUUUUGAUGUUGGAAUGUUUGCCAAGCCUCAUCAAAUUUUGCUCUAGUAAGUGUUUCAUGAAGUUUCCGUUGUUGGAGAAAGUAAUUGUGAGGGAAUGUUCUCGUAUGAAGAUUUUUUCUGCUGGAGACACAAGCACACCAAUUCUUCAAAAAGUCAAAAUUGCAGAAAAUGAUUCAGAAUGGCAUUGGAAGGGAAACUUAAACGAUACAAUAUACAACAUGUUUGAAGAUAAGGUAUGUUUAUUUACCACUUUACUGCUUGUGUAACAAUAUUAUGAUUUGGGUUUCUAUUUUCUUUUAUUUUCUUUGGAUGCAUAAUAGUAGAUUUUUAAUUAUCAAUGUUGAAACUCUGGAAAAACAUAAUGGUGAAUAUGGCAACAACAAUAGUGUGAAAAGGGGUGGAAAGGAUGCCCAUUACCAAUUAGCAACCAUGGUGCUUAAAUGUGCUUGGUGAGCCAGGUGUCCAUCCAAAAUUCAGUUGAGCCCAUUAUCUUCCACCAUAUGAAUGUAUCAGUGUAAUUGUUAGUUAAGCAUGUAAUUAGUUUAGAACUAGUUAAGCCAUCUGUAUAUAGUUGGCACCUGAGCUGUCAAGUAACUGACUUGUGUCAGUUAGAGAUAAGUUAACAUGCUAUUGCAGGUAUUCAACAGCUUCGUAUAUAAAAGUUUGUUAGAAAAUUCUCGUUGAGUUUCUCUUAGUUUUACAUGGUAUCAGAUUAAUCUUUGAUCCAUGGCAACCUCUACGAUUCCCACUCUGCCGUCGCCACCGCCAAAAAAUGGUAUGCCGGCAACUCCGAUGGUUAUGCACACUCUUCUGCUCAGUUCCUUCGUAGAGGAAGAUUGAUCAAUGCAUUUUUGCAAUUUCUUUUUAUCCUGCAUUUUAACAUUUUGAAAGCUUUUUAUAUGUUUCUACAUAUUGGGUAUGAUUUGAGGGUUAAUGUAAUAAUUCUUGGAUUAAUCUCUGUAUUUAAUGUGUUCUGACUCAUGUUCAUUGUGUAGGCCAUAACUUCGGUUGAGGUUAUCCAAACUAGGCGUAAGUAUAGGCGUUGGAAAGCUAAGAAAUAGAUCUACAACUAUUAUGUUGAGCAGGAAUCCCAGUUUGGAUGUUCUCUUGAUGAACAAUUAUCAUCUCUGAAUCACUAAAGCUGAUGUGGGAUUUUGGGCCACUUAAUCUUUUGCCAUAAUGGGCCGAUUAGUCCUUUUAGCCCAACAAUUGAUCAAAUUCGGUUUUGCUAAUUAGGUUAAACUUGUAAUGGUAUAAAUAAGGCUGCUAUAGCCGGAACAUGGGGAUCUUUUGGCAGCUGUCAUUUGUUAUUUUCGAUGGAAGCUUAAUCAUGUAGAUCAAUUCACCUGUUAAGGAUUCUGUUUAAUGUCAUGAGGUCUGAAUUCUAAUGUCAAUUCUGUUUCUUAUGAUUUAAUAUCUUUUUACUUUCAAUAUUCUAUUUUUCCAUGAUCAUAUAUGUUUGGACGCUUGUUUCAUUUCAUAUUGAUUCUCAGUGGCGGAUGUUGAUUUAUUUUCUUGGGGGUACCAAACAGUUAUGGAAUAUAUAUUAUAUUAAAAUGAUUCAAUAAAUAGCAGUAGAACUCAAGUGUUCUGGUGGUUUGUAUUGCCGCAAACAUACCUGGCUGGUGCGGGUCGAACAUGCUACCUUCAUCAUAUAGAGGCACCCCCUUACCACUGCAACCACUGAGAAUUUAUUGAAAGUAUGGGCAUAAGGGCAUAAUACUAUAAAUAUAAUAUAGUAAGUUCAGGGGAUGCCAUGGCACCUGCCUGCCCUUGAGAAGAUCCGCCCCUGUUGAUUCUACCGAUUAAAAUUCAUAAUAAGUUCAUGUGUCUGAACGGUAGUUUCAAUAUAAAUCUGGUUAUAUAGAAUUGUUAUCGGGAACUUGCAUAGGACGCUUGAUUUAAAUUAUUUCAAAUGAUGAUUUUUGGGUUCUAUAAUGCUUAGGCGUAGGUUUGGUUGAACAUGUUAUUCAGAUUAGCCGUGAUUUUGUGACGCUUGCUCCAAAAUCACAUUAAAUCAAAUUCUAGAUUUUUUUGACGCUUGCUCCAAAAAUUAGCAGUAGUUCUAAUGAAUUAAUUGAUGCUUAAACGGUUAGUUUUAUAGCUAAAUUAGAGAGAAUAAAUUUAAUACCUGUGAUAGACCCGAAUAGAAUCUAACAAACCAGUGGAUUGAUUGUUUUGCCAAAUAGUUAAUUCUGCCAUUUUGAUCGUCUUUUCCACAAAUAAAACCCCUAAUUUACUUUCUUUUUUCUGUUCUAGUUUGGUUAUUAACAAUACAAAGAUCCCCGAUAAACGAGCAAGGUUUAAUUGCCUUGUACUGUUUUGUGAAUUCGGACUCAAAAUCACAUCAAUACAAACUAUAAUGUGUGGAGCAAAGGAAAGUAGUAACCAACAUCAAAGUAAACACAAGCAAUAACAACACCUAAAUCUAAUCUAGGAAUCAAAUGAAAAGUACAAAACCACAAGCAAAAGAUAAAGAGAGAAGAGAAACAAAUACACCAAAGAUUGUUGACCCAGUUCGGUCCAACUUAACCUACUCUGGGGGAGAGAUUGAUCUCUCCAAUCCACUAUCAAUGAGUUCUUACAAAGAGAUAUAAAUGGGUAACAAGAAAUUAGCUUCAACAAGCUUACAAAAAACAACCCUAAUUUCUAUCCGUUUUCCCAAUCUCACAAAUGAACAAGACACUCAAUGAUUUUCACUACCCCAAGGUGUUUACAAUGUUUCUCAACCUAAGAGAACUCUAAUCAAAGACCCUCAACCCACAAGUUACCUCCUUUGAUUUCCCAAGUUGUCAUCUCUUGAAGCUCUCUUGAACCACACUUCAAUAAAAACACUUAAAUAGCAGUCUUCAGCUGUCAAUAUCGUACGACCCACGGUACGACCAACCUUAUGUCAACGUGUCAAGCAAGCCGAAAAUCGUGACACAUUUUCCCAAAAUCGUAUCACGAUUGAACAAGAACACCCAUCAAAACAUGCUCUCGGCAUUGCCAAAUCGUGACACGCCUAUGAAAUCAUGUCACGAUUUCUCUGUUUCUCCAAACCACAAAUUUGAAGCCAAUAUCAACAUGUACUACUCUUUUUAUAACAAUUAUUUUGACCGCGAAUUACAGUGAUCAAAUUGGCACCGUCGUCGGGGAUCUCCGAUAAGGAUUAUCCAAAUUAAGAACCUUCAGUAACAACUCUUAACAUUUUCUCUCGAGUUUUCAUUGUAUUAGGUUCUGAUGUCGGAUAUUUCAUUUAAGCUAAAAAAAAUAAUUGAUUUCCAAUCAACUACUCCGAUUGCUGCGAAAUUUGGUGAGCAGUUCUAACAGUCAACUACUCCCAUGUUUUCCAAAUACACUCAUCCUUGCAUAUAAUGAUGUUGUUAGGGAAUACGAUGGAAAGACCAAACAUUAGGAUAUAAAAGGCUCAACCCAUACAAAUUUAUUUACAAGACCAAAAGAGUGAUAAAAUAUAUGUAUAUUCUGUUCCUUUUGAGUGUCAUUUUACAUAAAAUGUUUUUUUUAGGGAGGAAACAAAGCAAAUUUUUUGUUCCUUUGUAAUUGUCAUAUCAAAAUUUCAAACUAGCAUUAAAUUUUGUUUUCUUAAUAUUACCUCUUAUUUAUUGCAGAGAGUUAAAUAAGUGAGUUGAGAUGAUAAAUAAUUUAAGGUAAGAUGAAAUUGUUAAUAAAAAGUAGCAAAAUUUAAUAGCUUUAUUGGUUUGUGUAAACAGCCUUAAAACAACAAUUUCUUUUUUUUAUAAAUCUAAAUUAACCCACUCAAUUGGCACCAAAGAGAAUCUAACCUGAGACCUCUCACAUCCCAAGCCAAUGUCACUAGGCCAUAAAACAACAAUUAAAAAUGAACCGAUGGGGUAAUAAUUACUUAAUAGGAAGAUGCACUAGAAAAUCUUAUAAUCUUAGAAUAUGUACGAUAAAUAAUUUGAUAGUCUGUUGCAUAGGUAAAUCAUUCUAUUUUUUGAUGAAUAAUAAAUUUGUAAAUCUUAUAUUUGUGUACCUCGUAUUUUUUUCGAACAUUAUAUGUCAUCAAAACAAAAUAAAAUGAACACAAGACCUAACCAAAGAAAACUAGAGUGCACAAUUCUCUUUAUUCAUUUCUACUUUACUUCAGCUAUGUAUUAAAGUUUAUUCAAGAAUAUUUAUUACAGCCCCUAAAAACGAAUGUUUAUUACAAGUUACAACAUAUUAAAAAUCGAAGUUAAAUGCUAAGUAACUUUUAUUUAUAGAAUUUUAUCACUCCUGACAUAGUUGAGAUAACUCCAAGCAAUAUGAAAUUUAGAAAAUUCAGAGCUCAUGCUCAAUUUCUUAAAUUCGUUUUCGGUUCUUUCCUUUCCAUAUUGUAUUAAAAACAUGAGAUUCUCAAUAGCAUAAGAAUGCUUAGACAUAUUGCUUAGGUUUGGAGCCUUUGGAAUUACAUAAUCCAAAACAGUCUCCUUUUCGUAUUUUGGCAAAGCUUAGUAACAAUUUCUUAAAAAUUUCACACAUUCUUUAUUUGCCCAAUUGAUACCUUUUUAUACCAAUUGAUACCUUUUAUUGAAGGACUAGAUCAUCGACAUGUGCAAUGCACGCGUCUUUUAAAAUGUACUACCUUCCAACUCUUUUUUUUUUACUUUAUGAUAUCACCCAUGCAAUGAAUGGGGUGAGCUAUAUGAGAUUAUGAUAUAUAUAUUUUUACAUAACUAUAAACAAUGUGUCUGAUUUUUAGUUUGACGGUCUAAUUACCAUUAAUGUAGUAAAUCUACUCUACUAGUUUCUUAACAUGUUUGACGCAUGAAGUGCAUGUGACGAUUGAAACAUGUAUUAUUUAUUAGAAAAUAAUAAAAUUAUUUUUUGUAAAAAUAUCAUAAUCUCAUAUAAGGUAAACCAUUUAAAAAAAAAAAAACAAAAUCAAGACUCGUUCACGUUGCUCCUUUACAACACAAUCUUAAACAUCUUUGUGUUCCGUCAUCAUCAAACUAUGAAACUUCUAUGCCCUAAGCUCAUCCCUUUCCAUCUGACUUGGUAGAUGGAUUAUUAGCAUCUUUCAAGCACUCCUAUACAAAAUGAUAAAUUUAAAAUUAAAACAAACAUUGAAUUUUCUCUGUGCGUGUGAUGGACACAAACAUCCAACAUAGCCUAAAGGCAAAGUUGAUUUAUUCUAGAACAGUUAUAUCUUCAUGUGAUUCUAUAAGAAAGUUAAAACCAAAAGUAUCAUACUUUGGGGACCUUCAAACUAUUUUCUUUAAAAGUUAAGGAAAAUGUAGAUCAAAAUCAGAUAGAAUCAUAUAAAACAUAUUAAAUAAGUACAAAUUAGUUACAAACCCGUGCUUCGCACGGGUUGAAUAACAUAUCUUGUAAAAAAAAUUAUUCCAAAGGAAAAAUGAUCAAAUUAAUGAAUAUUGUACAAACUCGGAUAUUCUAAAAAAUCACUUUUACUGAAAUUUUAAAAAACUUUGUUAUAAAGGAGAAAUGAGCAAAUUAAGGGAAAAAGCUGCAUUUUUUUAUGAAAUUGUUGUCGUUCAUAAAUGUGAAAAUCAAGCAAGCAUAUUGCACAAAUCUCAGCUAUAUGUACAUUUUUAAAACAUUUACCAAAGCAUUAUAAAGAUUUGCUGUAGGAAAAUAGCAUGUUCUAUUUGGUUCAAGAGAUUAGGAAAACAACAUUAUAAUUAACAUGAUACUAAUUGGAACCAAUGAAGCAACCAACAAUGUGCAGAUUAACGUUAUAUAAUAGUCAGGUUUAUAAAAGAGACUGCAAGUGUCAUAGACUAACCAAAAAUGGAUUUUUGCCAAUAUUUACAUCAGACAAAAUGAAAAGAACAAAUGACAUUCCAAAGUCAAGAUAGGUUACGAUUACAGUCCAAAGGGAUACGCCAAAAUAGUAGAAGUUCAAAUAGUUUAACAGCAAAGAUAUAUUUUGGAACAGCUCGAACGUGCAAGUUCUUCGAUAACUUUUCGAGAUCAAAGAUGAGUUUACCACCUUCUUCCAUCACACGUUCUCUGCAGAAAUUAAACCACUGCGCCCCUAGUAUUUUUCAUAGCUUGCUCUUUCGGAGGUAAUGAGGCGACACUUAUACUUUCUCUGUGUCUGGUCAUCAAUGAGAGUGAUUUUUUGCGCUUUUCUUUCAGAAUUGUUCUUAAUACCUUGUUUGGGAAAUGCUAAAGGGAGAUAACUGCAAUAUUAGUCUAAUGCAUAUUAACAUGGAUAAGAUGUAUGUUAAUAUAGUUACAUAUAAUUUAUAAAAUGAAGGUAGCAUAACUGAUUUUAAGUUAAAGAAAAUGUACCAUGACUUCUAAUGUAUCGUCCUAUUAUAUUCCUAUAAAAUCUAGAUAAAUGCAUGCAUGUGGAUUAUAUGUACCUCGUUGGCCAAUUAACAUUGUUGAAACAAAUGGAAAUUAAGCAUCACUCCUGCAUGCGCAUUUAUAGCUAACACCAUUUUACAUUGAUGUCUUCGAACAUUUGGUGCAACUCUCAUGAUACCAUCCAAACUGGUUAGGAUUGAAUUUAGUUGUUUUCCAAAUAGUGAUGCAAUAUGUAUCCUAACACAAAUUAUACACAUGAAAUAAAGAAUAAUGCAAUAUGUAUUUUUAAUUUGUGCAUAAAAAACUUAAAGCAUGUUUGUGCAUAAAAAAUAAAAUUAAAAAAAAGCAGACCUUGACUAAGUUUAUAAAUUCAACAAUUGGCCUAACUUGAGACAGAUUGGAAAAAUCGUUGUACGAAGUACGUUGAGAAGAAGCCGAACUCUAACUUAAGUUCUGACUGUAGCUUUGACUCUGAGCUUGAGAAGUGUUAAGGUCACGAUAACAAUUCAAGAAACAUGGUCAAAAAAUAAUCAAAUCAGAUUGUGAAAUAAUAAGUUACUCUAACACUGUAUUGUGAAAUCAUAAUGCAAACUUACUAAGUCUUAAACUUCUCAACAACCGGAUGAUGUAGGUUGAUGAGCAACCUCAAACCUGACUAAUUGUUACAUAUAUUUGGGUUGCCGUUGACUAUAAAAUGGAAGCAAAGAACUCAAGGUAAAUAGAUGGUAAAUGAUAAAGUUACGAAGUAUUUUUCCCAUAGUGUUGCAUUAGCCAUAUUCCCACUACAUAAGGAAAUACAUCUUUCAGGUCAUUAUCAAACUUAUACAAAAUCCUAUCAUUUGAUGCUGACAAAUUAGAAAAUAAUACCUUUUAUUUUUCAACACAAUGUUCGUACACGGUUUCUUUCCAGUCCCAAUUGACGUUGUCUUGACAAUCUCAUGAAGAAGCCCGAUGAUUUCUUAAAAAGAAAAUUACAUCUAUAAGAACAUUAUAGUCGGUGAAAACAUAGAAAUAAAUGAAAGCACAUAAUUAUACCAUAUAAAACGUCAGUUUUGAAUUUUCCAUCUUGAAUUUCCUUAAAUGACUUAAAGCGAAAUUCAUGAGUAAGAACGUUGGUUUACUUGUCAUACUUCUGCACCUUUGUACCAGAAUCAAAAACAACUUUAAAGGGAUUAAAUGCAAUGUCAUUAUCAAGCACAUGACAUUUAUAGAAAGUAUAAGUCUUGUUUUCCUCGAUCAAAGCCUUCCAAUGCUCCAAUUCUCUAUAUCGAGUUAUUACAUGAACUCGAUCACCCUAAAUCCGAGAAAGAAACCAAAAAAUAUAAAUAAAUCAAAAUGUACACUAAUAAGUAACAUUGAUAAAUCAUAAAGGAAAUUACAACAAAUCUUAAAUAACUCAUCUAACUUUUGCAUCACAAAUAAUGAGCUUCAUGCGUUGAUUCUCAUUACUACCAGUCACAAUCCAAGAAUCCAACACUCCAAAUCCUAUUUUUCAAAUGUCCAAAUCAUUUUUGAGAUCCUUAAUGUAGUCAUAAUCCCUUGACAUUGAAAGUCCUAUAUGAAAAUACAAUAAUACAUCAUUUAAUUUUAUUCCCUUUGUUCAUUCUCAUAUCGAAAGAAGCUAACAUAUUUUUAUGUGACCAAAUUUUCUAUCAUCAAAUCAACCUAAUCUUAAAUGCACAAAUUUCUGUAUCAUCAACUUUCUGGACUUCAAUGUGUUGGAACAAAAUGUGUUUCACAAUGAACCUUAUUAAGUUUUGAUGAUAACAAGGUAUUAAAAAUUGUCAAUUGGUUAUUACUAAUAAUUGUUCAAGUGUACAGGACCAAAGGCUACUCAAGUUAUUUCAAUAGGUCUUGGAAGAACAAUGCAAAGAAAAAGAAAAUUCUGAGCAUCUGAAGAAAAACUGCUCCUGAAGCUGAAGUGCUUCUGAAAUGAUGACGUUCACAAAAACAAAAAGUCCUCCAAACCAAAAAUUUUUAAUCAAAACCAAUACCCUUCCCCAAAACCUACCGUUUGAUCCUUUAAACCAAACUAAAAAUCCAAGUACUCGAUUCUCAAUUCCCUCCUUAUCCUUAUACUAACCAAAAACCUAUCCGGUGCGUUUUUUUGUUUAUCCUCGGAUCACCCUCCGUCACCGAUGGCCCUCCUCAUGUUCAACCCACAUUCAAACUCACAUCUAAAUUAGUACACCAUUAUCAUCCUUUAAACAAUCUUCUCCAUAAAGAACAAAUUCAUUAUCAAUUAUAUAAAAUCACUACUAUUCUACCUAUUACAUGACUCAUUAUAUUAUCUUUGAAAUCCUAUUAACACCUUACCUUACCCUUUCCAUUAAAAAUUAUUAUCAUUCAAGAACAUUACCUCUUAAUGCCUACUUACCAUUAUCGAUCUUUUCCGAAAUUAAAUUCAUUCUCACGCUAUAUUCUUUUCGUUAGUGCUUGGAUUUAAUUAAUUUGCUUCUCCUCUCUUUACAUCUCUCUUUAUCAUAUUAUCCUCUAUCCAACAAAGAUUCAACAUCCCCAGAUACUUUCUAAUCACCAUUAUUACUUCAUCUUACAAAACUUAUGACCAUGCCAUCCAUGCCAUCACAACCUCCCAUCCACUAUCAACUANNNNNNNNNNNNNNNNNNNNNNNNNNNNNNNNNNNNNNNNNNNNNNNNNNNNNNNNNNNNNNNNNNNNNNNNNNNNNNNNNNNNNNNNNNNNNNNNNNNNUAUAUAUAUAUAUAUAUAUAUAUAUAUAUAUAUAUAUGUACACUAUGAAGAGAUUAGCUGAAACUUAAUUUGUACCCACUUUGUAAAUUUGUACUCGCAUUAUUUAUUAUUAUUUAUCUGUUCUCUUUCACUAAUAACUCGUAAAAUCCUUCAAUAUUUUGCAAAUUGUGAGUGUAGUUUGUUUUGAUAUUUUUUUGUUGUUUGCAGAUCAUUUAGUUUCUUCUUUUUGAAACCAUUUUGAAUAAGUUUUGUAGAUCACACCAUCAAAAGCACCAGUUGUUACGUUGAUUCAUAAUCUAGCCUAAUGAUCUUUCCUUUUUGUAAUUUAAUCAGAUAUUAUAACAAACUAAUAAUCAGAUAUUCUUGACGCGUAAUUGUGAUGAUUAAUCCUUUGAGUUUUGUAGGACCCAAAUUGUCAAGAAACUGUCCCUAACGUCAACCGUUGAUCUAAUUAAUUUUUUUUUUUUUGAUAGAGGGUUUGGCUACCUCUCAAAUAGGUGACUUUAGAAAUCAAACAUAGUUCUUUUGCUCGAGAUAAACAUGUUGCCAACUCUCCCACCAUGUUGGUUAAACUCGAUUCCUUGGCUAAGCCUCUUGGAUUAAUUCAGAAAUUUUAAUUUUACAUGUUUUUUUUAUAUUUUAUAUCUUUAACUUUUUGGUUGAAGUUUAUAUCUUUAACUUUUCUCUUGAGCUCUAAAAUGAAUUAUAUUUAUCUCUCAAAAACAAAAUGCCUAGGACAAAAAAUAUUGAGUUCAGAGUAAAACAACGGAACUUAAUUAUGGAAGAACCCAAAAACUAUACUUUUAGAACUUGAACGGAUGAAAUCAUUUUAUUUAUGGAGAUUAGAACUAAAUUCAGUCUUUUUAUAGAGAUAGAAUUAUAUUUAAAAAUUUUAUAAAAAAUUCAGUCUUAAAUUUUUUAUUGGUUACACAUGAUUGUAAUGAAAUUCAAUUCGCACAGUCUAUCAAUAUUAUUGGAUUUUAUUGUCUAUAUUUUUCUAAUUCUAACCAAAGUGUGUUCUAUUAUUAAUUGCUGUUUUCCAUCGGAAAAAAGAGUAAUGCGUUAAUGUCCUCACAUUUCCAAAUGUUGCCCUUAUUUCUUCUGCCUCAUCCAUAAAUGGUAUCUUUUACUUUCACUUUCAGAUUUUGACUCAAGUCACAAAGAAGAGGAGAAGAAAAUAAAAUCAAUGGAAAUUUUAACUUCUGUUGUUGGAAAAAUAACAGAAUAUACCAUUGUGCCUAUUGGACGUCAAGCAAGUUACUUGAUAUUCUACAAAGGCAACUUCAAGAAGUUAAAGGAUCAUGUUGAAAACCUUCAGGCUGCAAGAGAAAGAAUGCUCCAUUCGGUUGAAAGAGAAAGGAGAAAUGGUAGAGAAAUUGAAAAAGAUGUUCUGAAUUGGUUGGAGAAAGUGAACGAGGUCAUUGAAAAUGCAAAUCGGCUUCAAAACGAUCCUCGUCGUCCCAAUGUUAGGUGCUCAGCAUGGUCAUUCCCCAACUUGAUUUUACGUCAUCAACUAAGUAGGAAAGCUACAAAAAUUACAAACGAUGUUGAUCAAGUUCAAAGAAAGGUAGGUUUUUAAUCAAAUUGGCUACCUUCCCCCUCUAGAUGUAGGAGCCUCCUCCUCCUCAACAAGAGAUGGUGAAAAGUAUGACACAAGGGAGUUGCUUAAGGAGGACAUUGUGAAGGCUUUAGCAGAUCCCACUUCACGCAACAUUGGGGUCUAUGGGUUAGGUGGGGUGGGGAAGACCACUCUGGUGCAGAAAGUUGCUGAGACAGCCAAUGAACAUAAAUUGUUUGAUAAAGUGGUUAUCACAGAAGUAUCGAAAAAUCCAGACAUUAAAAAAAUUCAAGGGGAGAUUGCAGAUUUCUUGAGUCUGCGAUUUGAAGAGGAGAGUAAUCGUGGCAGAGCAGAACGCCUUAGACAAAGAAUCAAGAUGGAGAAAAGUAUCCUUAUCAUUCUAGAUAACAUAUGGACCAUACUUGAUUUGAAAACAGUGGGGAUUCCAUUUGGUAAUGAACAUAAUGGUUGCAAGUUGUUGAUGUCAUGCAGAAGUCAAGAAGUGUUGUCGCAAAUGGAUGUUCCAAAAGAUUUCACUUUCAAAGUUGAACUUAUGAGUGAAAACGAGACAUGGAGCUUGUUUCAAUUUAUGGCAGGGGAUGUGGUUAAAGAUAGCAAUUUGAAAGAUCUACCAUUUCAAGUGGCCCAAAAAUGUGCAGGUUUGCCUCUUAGGGUAGUGACAGUAGCGCGUGCAAUGAAAAAUAAGAGGGAUGUUGAAUCUUGGAAAGAUGCAUUAAGGAAAUUACAAAGUAAUGAUCAUACAGAGAUGGAGCCUGGAACUUAUUCUGCUUUGGAAUUGAGUUACAACUCAUUGGAGAGUGAUGAAAUGAGGGCUCUCUUCUUGCUUUUUGCAUUACUGUUACGUGAAAACGUAGAGUACUUUCUCAAAGUUGCAAUAGGGUUGGACAUAUUGAAGCAUGUUAAUGCCAUAGAUUAUGCAAGAAACAGACUUUACUCAAUAAUCAAAUCUUUGGAGGCGAGAUGUCUUUUGCUUGAAGUUAAAACAGACAGAAAUAUCCAAAUGCAUGACUUUGUUCGUGAUUUUGCUAUCUCCAUAGCACGUAGGGAUAAACAUGUACUUCUAAGAGAACAAUCUGAUGAGGAAUGGCCAACCAAGGACUUUUUUAAAAGGUGCACACAGAUUGCUCUGAAUAGGUGUGAUAUGCACGAGCUUCCUCAAACGAUUGAUUGUCCAAACAUUAAGCUUUUCUAUUUGAUUAGUAAGAAUCAAUCUUUGAAAAUCCCCGAUACUUUUUUUAAGGGUAUGAGAAGCCUUAGAGCGCUAGAUUUAACAUGCUUGAAGUUGUUAACAUUACCCACAUCAUUUCGGUUACUAACAGAACUUCAAACAUUGUGUUUGGAUUUUUGUAUUUUGGAAAAUAUGGAUGCAAUAGAAGCUUUGCAAAAUUUAAAAAUUCUCAGACUCUGGAAUUCUUCAAUGAUCAAGUUGCCAAGAGAAAUAGAGAAAUUGACUCAAUUGAGAAUGCUUGAUUUGAGCCAUUCAGGAAUAGAAGUGGUCCCACCCAACAUCAUAUCAAGUUUGUCUAAAUUGGAGGAGUUGUACAUGGAAAAUACAUCAAUAAAUUGGGAAGAUGUGAAUUCAACGGUUCAAAAUGAAAAUGCUAGUCUUGCCGAGCUUCAAAAACUACCCAAAUUGACAGCUCUAGAAUUACAAAUUCGUGAGACUUGGAUGUUGCCAAGGGACUUGCAAUUGGUGUUUGAGAAGCUGGAAAGAUAUAAAAUAGCUAUUGGAGAUGUAUGGGACUGGUCUGACAUUGAGGAUGGAACCUUAAAAACAUUGAUGCUCAAACUUGGUACAAACAUACAUUUGGAGCAUGGAAUUAAAGCAUUGAUUGAAGAUGUUGAGAAUUUGUAUUUGGAUGAUGUAGAUGGAAUUCAAAAUGUGCUUCCUAACCUAAAUAGAGAAGGAUUUACAUUGCUGAAACAUCUCCACGUCCAAAAUAAUACUAACUUGAAUCACAUUGUUGAAAAUAAAGAGAGAAAUCAAAUCCAUGCGUCCUUUCCCAUCUUGGAAACACUAGUACUUCUUAAUCUUAAAAAUUUGGAGCAUAUUUUUCAUGGUCAACCUUCAAUUGCUUCUUUUGGAAAACUCAGUGUUAUCAAAGUCAAAAACUGCGUCCAAUUAAAAUAUAUAUUCUCAUAUCCAGUGGUUAAAGAACUUUACCACAUUUCUAAGAUUAAAGUUUGUGAGUGCAAUUCUAUGAAGGAAGUAGUGUUCGGAGACAACAAUUCAAGUGCAAAAAAUGAUAUCAUUGAUGAAAAAAUUGAGUUUCUUCAAUUGCGUUUUUUGACUUUAGAACAUUUGGAGACACUUGAUAAUUUCGCCUCUGAUUAUUUGACGCAUCUUAGAAGUAAGGAAAAGUAUCAAGGUGUAGAGCCUUAUGCUUGUACUACACCGUUUUUCAAUGCUCAGGUAUGCUAUUUUGUUUUUAGCUUCUUUAGAUACAAAUGAUAUAAUUUUUAAUUUUGUGAUAUGUACAAACAGAUUGAUUCAUGAAUAAACUGGUACGUUUAGUGAAGAUUUUUUUUUUUUUGAGUAAAUGAACAAGAUUAAUAUUUUCUGUUCAAAACACUAUAAUGCUUAUUUUUUCCCACAAAACUACAACAGAUGUGAUAAUAAAAGUCAUUUUAAAAAUUUUAAGUAUACUAUUAGUUAAAAAUUAGUUUUUAUUCUUAAAAAAUAUAUUUAAAUAGACUUCAUACUGUUUCAUAGUUUUUACUUUUUAAUUAUACUAUUAGUUAUACGUUGUUUCAAUGUUUCAUAUUAUAAGAGUAAUGAUUUCUGCUAAUUUGUUUUUAUGUAGGUCGCAUUUCCUAAUUUGGAUACCCUUAAAUUGAGCUCACUUCUCAAUUUGAAUAAAAUUUGGGAUGUCAAUCAUCAAUCAAUGUGCAACUUGACUAGCUUGAUUGUGGAUAAUUGUGUUGGAUUGAAGUAUUUAUUUCCCUCUACUUUGGUUGAAAGUUUUUUGAAUCUCAAAUACCUUGAGAUAAGUAAUUGUCUUAUAAUGGAGGAUAUAAUAACUAAAGAAGAUAGAAAUAAUGCAGUAAAAGAGGUAUGGUAAUUCUAUUAUUGAAAACAUCCAAUUUUUUAAAAUUGUAAUUUAUAUAAUUAUUUAUACUGAUGGUGGUUAUUCAUGAUUUAGGUUCAUUUUUUGAAAUUAGAGAAAAUCAUAUUGAAGGAUAUGGACAGCUUGAAGACAAUAUGGCAUCAGCAAUUUGAAACAUCGAAGAUGUUGAAAGUGAACAAUUGUAAGAAAAUUGUGGUUGUUUUUCCUUCUUCAAUGCAAAACACAUACAAUGAGCUAGAGAAGUUGGAGGUUAGAAAUUGUGAUUUAGUUGAAGAGAUAUUUGAAUUGAAUUUGAAUGAAAAUAACAGCGAAGAGGUUAUGACACAAUUGAAAGAGGUUACUCUAGAUGGACUGUUGAAGUUGAAAAAGAUAUGGAGUGAAGAUCCUCAAGGAAUUCUUAGUUUUCAAAAUCUAAUAAAUGUACAAGUAGUUGGUUGUUCAAGCUUGGAGUAUUCAUUACCAUUCUCCAUAGCCACUCGUUGCUCACAUCUCAAGGAACUUUGUAUAAAAUCUUGUUGGAAAAUGAAGGAAAUUGUUGCAGAGGAGAAAGAAUCUAGUGUGAAUGCAGCUCCGGUAUUUGAAUUUAAUCAACUAAGUACUUUAUUGCUUUGGCACUCACCUAAACUCAAUGGUUUCUAUGCUGGAAAUCAUACUCUGCUAUGUCCAUCUUUGAGGAAAGUUGAUGUUUACAAUUGUACAAAGUUGAAUUUGUUUAGAACUCAUUCUACAAGAAGCUCCAAUUUUGGAGAUGACAAACACUCUGUUUUAAAGCAACAACCACUUUUCAUUGCUGAAGAGGUAUGCAUAUCAAUAUAAUAAAUGUAGGACUUGUUUUUUGUUUUUCUCUACAGUAAGGAAUUAGUGUUAUUCUUUUGAAAUACCAAACAAUAAUUAUUAUACUUGUAUUCAAUUGAAUAAUUCUGAUUCAUUCAACUUUUACAAUUGAAUUAGAUGGCGUGUAAAAGUAUUUGACAAUUUCUUGAGGAAAAAAUUGAAAAAGUACAGAGGUAUUGGCAAAAAUUAAAAAGACAAAAUUUUAGGUGAUUAUUGUUUAAAUAUGUUUUAGGUGAUUCCAAACUUGGAGUUUUUGAGGAUGGAACAGGCGGAUGCUGACAUGCUAUUGCAAACUAAAAACUCAUGUGCCCUCUUUUGCAAAAUGACCUAUCUUGGAUUGGCUGGCUAUAACACCGAAGAUGCUAGAUUUCCUUAUUGGUUUCUUGAAAAUGUGCAUACUCUUGAGUCACUAUAUGUUGGGGGGAGUCAAUUCAAGAAGAUUUUCCAAGAUAAAGGAGAAAUAAGUGAGAAGACUCAUCUACAUAUAAAAAGCCUGACAUUGAAUCACUUACCUAAACUUCAACAUAUAUGUGAGGAAGGAUCUCAAAUUGACCCAGUUCUUGAGUUCCUUGAAUGCUUAAAUGUUGAAAACUGUUCUAGUUUGAUAAAUUUGAUGCCUUCCUCUGUCACCCUUAAUCAUCUCACAAAGUUAGAGGUAAUAAGAUGCAAUGGGCUAAAAUAUUUGAUCACAACUCCUACUGCACGAAGUUUGGACAAGCUCACUGUGCUGAAGAUAAAAGAUUGUAAUUCACUUGAAGAAGUAGUUAAUGGAGUAGAAAAUGUUGACAUUGCUUUUAUUAGUUUACAAAUUUUGAUGUUGGAAUGUUUGCCAAGCCUCGUCAAGUUUUGCUCUAGUGAGUGUUUCAUGAAGUUUCCGUUGUUGGAGAAAGUAAUUGUGGGGGAAUGUCCUCGCAUGAAGAUUUUCUCUGCCAAAGACACAAGCACACCAAUUCUUCGAAAAGUUAAAAUUGCACAAAAUGAUUCAGAAUGGCAUUGGAAAGGAAACUUAAACGAUACAAUAUACAACAUGUUUGAAGAUAAGGUAUGUUUAUUCAUAAUGGCAUUUGGGUUUCUAUUUUCUCUUGUUUUCUUUGGAUGCAUAGUAGUUGAUUUUUAAUUUACAUAAUAGUUGAACUUUGUGGAAAAACAACUAUUUGGAGACUUUGAAAGUACUUCGCAAUAUACUCUUAAAAAAAGUUAAAGAGAUACAUAGUGUCAAAAGAAAGAAAGUCAUAUUUGAUAAAAAGAAGAAAAAAAAUCAUAGAAAUGGACCCUGAGGUUGUAACAAAGACUUCAAAAUUCAAAGAGUUUGUAGUCAUGUUUUAUAAACAAUUAUAAUAAUAUAAAUAUAUGCCGUUAAAAAAAUAGUAAUUUUGAUUUUUUUAGGGUAGUAAUUUUGAUUUGUCUCUUCAUAUAUAGUCCUUAUAAUUAACCAGCUUAGUGAGUGCUGCUAGCCAUGGAGUGCUUUGUCGUGACUUUAUAACGACUUUCAUAUUUCGACAUAUAUAAAACACAUGUAGUUUCAUAACCAUUUUUUAAGAUGAUUUUCUAAAGUACAACUCUACUAUAAAAAAAUACAAGGUAUCCAGUACGUGUAAAUAUUUUAUUAUUUUUUUUAUAAAAAAAAUAAAUAUAUAAAUGUCGAAUGGAUGUUUUGGCAAAAAUUUGUUUGAUUUUACUCCAAUUAAUGCUUACAUUUAAAUGUUUAUUUUGUAUAGGUCCAAUUUAAACAUUCUUUAUUGUUGGAGAAAUAUACUGAUAAAAAUUGAACUUUUUUCUCACUAUAUCACCUGUGUGUGUGGAAAUGAUGAAAAGAAUAAUUUUGAUUUUACAAGAGAUGAAAAAAUUGAUUUAUAUUUUAAUGGAGAUGAAUAAUUUGAUCUUAACCUCGAAGGCGAGUGGAAAAUAGAUUGAUUUAAUUUUUAAUGAAGAUGAAUAAUUGGAGGAGAAUAAGAAAUGUUAACCUUAUAAUUUUCAAAUGUUAGCGCAAUAAAAAUAGCGCUUGUCAGACUACCUUGAGAACCAGCAGACUUCUUUGAGGAAUGAUGCUGAUGUUGUUGAUGAAAGUGUGUUAGCGCAAUAGUUGACAAAAUCUAACUAAUUUUCAUGAAAAUAUAAAUUUUAUAAAAAAAUAUGAUAAUUUAUACGUGUUAGUGCAAUAGAAAGAACUGAUAAACGGUUAAAAAAAAAUAUCAGCGUUAGCCCGUCCAAUGCUAGUAUAUAUAAAGCACGUCAACUGUCCUCGUGAGCUUAGCUCGGUUGGUUUGAACAAUGCAUAAAAUAUGCAAGAUUUGGAGUUCAAACUAGACUACCAUAUAAAAAAAAAAAAAGCACGUCAAUUGAAAGGCAAAUUAGCGUUUAGAUAAAUAUAAUGAUAAUUUAAAUUAUCAUUUUGGAAAAAAAGAUCUACGUGGUUAUUUAUAAAACAAAACACCAUAGAAGUAGUUUAAUACGUGAACUUAUAACUACUAACGCUUAAUAAUGUUUAGAAACUAAAAGUCGUAUUAUAGGUGAUUGCAGCAUUAGCUACAAAGAAUCUACUCAAUAACUACCAACUACUAAUAUUUCUUUUGACUUUUUUUUUUUGUCCGGCAAAAAUUAUUAUGCAUAAGUCAUUUCCUUAUGCACCCUGUAUAAACACUUCACAAAACCAUUAGACAAUUAUUUUGGUUUCUCAUAUAAGACUAUCAAAACCAUUAAACCAUAAUUAUCAGGAACAAACAAAUCAUAAAGAUUUUUAUCUUUAUUUUCUGUUAUCAUUUGAUCAACACGACUUUUUUUCUUUUUUCAACUCCAACUUUUUCGCCUCUUACUCUUAUGAAUCAAUGGUAGUCUUAUGGUUUGAUAUAGAAGAGAUUGUUCAUGCUUUUUUGUAGGCAGGCGAAUAGGUUCAAUAAAAAAUAUGCUUUUUUGUAGGCAGACGAAUAGGUUCAAUAAAAAAUAUUAGCCUUUCCUUCAAGUCCUCAGUGUCCCUACAUUUUGUAUAACAAAAAUCCUUCGUAAUUGAAUCAACCAGCAUUUCUAUAUCUAGCUCUAGCUUUUUAAUCGACAUUAUUACAAUUUUUUAAAAUUUUUUCAUUCUAAGCAGGAGACAAAAUAAGUUGGUAUUAUCCAUUCCUAUUUCUUCGUCGGAACUAUCACAGUGCAAAUAAAAACCCAAAUAUUUUGAUAGUAAGAAAUCAUGUUCUCCCUUUAGAUCGGUCCUGUAUUUAGAAUCUGAUCCUUUAUAAUAGUAUGAGCCAGAUUUAAGAUCUUCAUCUACUGUAUUCACGUAUUCUUCUGUUGUUAACUCUAAAUUAUCAAGCUGCAAAACAAAGAAUUUUAUUGGUAAGAUCCAAGGAUUCAUCUUAUAUGCACAAUAAAAUUUGCUUAAUUUUGAAAAGAACCAAAAUCCGGGAAUAAGGAAGUUAUUCUUCGGUAUAGAAGUCUUUUUCCUUUUUACAUUCAUUCCCAUCCAAUUGAAAUACUUUCUAUCCGGAUUUUUUUCUAGAUUUUUUUCCAUAUCUAGAAUAUCAUAUUCUUCUAGAUAAUUUUGGAUAGAGAUAACGCCUAUUAUAUCCAAAAAUUCUUUUCUACAUAGGUUGUAAUUAUAAGAAAUUUUUGUUUCCUUGCGGUGAUCUAUAUCCAUAAAUAUAGGAUUUUUUCUUAUCCGCAAAAUGAAUAUAUUGAUAGGAGAAAAGAUCAUAUCUAUAUUGUUUUUUAAUUUUGUUUUUAAUUUCUAUUUUUAAUAAGUCUCCUUCUUGUUCUUGUUUUUUGGAAAGAAUUAAUUGAUUUUUUUCAAAUGAAUCAUAUUCAACUAAAUCUUUAUUUUGAGCCACACGAUGUUCAUUGAUUUUAUUCCUCCAGUUUUGUGAUACUCAUCUCGACCAUCUGUUCUCAGGUAAAUCAUAUUGAUAAAGAACCUUUAACCAAUUUGUCCAUUGAUUCAUUAACGAAUCGGGACGUUUCUUAUGUCUUAAUUUGGAAUUAUAUGUUCCUUGUAUUCUAAAAAAAAUAAUCCUUUAUUUCAUUCUUAAGAAAAAAAGAUCUUUCAGGAGAUUCAAAAAUAGAUCUUAACUUAAAUUUAUAUCCAUUACUAACUUGGAUUUGUGAUAAUUUAUAAAAUACAUAUGCUUGUGACAAAGAAGAUACAUCCAAGAAUUCCGUGAAUUCAUAUUCGUAAUAUUCCCAGAUUUGUCUAUAAUCGACAUAAAUGGAAUUAUACUUUGAUUUUCAAUUCUUUUUGCAUUUUUUUUUGUAGUAAAUGGAUUUUUUUACAUUUAGUAUUUUGUCUAUUGAUUCAAGAAAAUAAAAAAAAACGUUGUCGAUGGAUCCUAGCAAUACUACUGAUACGUAAAAGGAUAUCUAUGUAUAUCCCUUCUAUGAAAAUUUUGAAAAAAGAAUAGGAUUUACGUAUUAAUCGAACAAAUCUUCUUUUUAAGAUUUGCAAAAUAUUUUUUUGUAAUUCUAAUCUUUUAGCAUAAGUAGUUUUGUUCGAAUUCAAAUUGAUCUCUGAAGUUAGAAUCCCCUUUUUUUUUUUUUCUUCUGUCAUUGUUUCUAUUUGUUUUAUGAUUGUCUUUGUUUUAACAUUAAGAUCUUCUAUCCUUUUUUCUGUGAAUGAAGAAUUUGUUCAAUUAAUAGAUUCCAUUUUAACAGGUGAUUCCUCAAUCACCUCAAUCUUUAAAUUAUUCUUGCUAAUUGUUGAAGUUUUUUUUUCUUUCACUCAGUUCAUCUAUUGUUUUGAACCUAAAUAGAAUACUUUUAAGUUUUGAUGUUUCAGUUUUCUAUUUUUUUUAACAUAGUUCGAAACCAUUUUUUUCUUUCAUUUAAAAAUUUUAGAACUAGAAAAAAACGCUUUUUCAAAUCUUUUUUCAUUCAUAUCCUAUCAAUUCCAUCAAGAGUGUCUUGAAUCCAUUCAUAUCCUGUCAAUACUGAAUUUCUACAUGAUUAAUAAUUCUGUCAGCGUAGGCAUUUCCUUCUGAAUUUCAAAGAUUCAAACAUUUAAGCUAGCUAUUUCUAAUGUUCCAAGUGACACAAUGAUAGAUUGGGAAGUAGAUAUAACCAACAUGUUAUCCAUUUAAAUCCAAAUAUUCCUCCAACUAUGCUCGUAAGGAGUCUAAAUAGUGAGCAUGACCGUCGUAAUCUGUGCACACAAGGUCGUUGAUAUGCCUAAAUUAGUAGCAAAACCUGCUACAGAUUGGCAUUCGAGUCGCUGAAAAUAUCUGGACAUGAAGCGUUACCAGGACACCCAUGGGCAACAUCGCUUCUGUUACAUUUAACCCGUUUUUAAGCCUCUCAAGCAUGGCCAUCUAUUAUGCUAAGUUCUGGAGUUCCUCAGCCAAGUAAUAACAACAUAAUCUUUAUCCCACUGAGGAAAGUUAGGAGCAAUUACCAGAGGUCUCUUCUAAGAACAUAUGAUAUUUUAAUGGAAAAUAUGGUUUUGGGAUAACAUCCCUGUUAUGGGCAUUGGUUGGAUCAUUUCUGGACUGUUUUCUAAUCUUUUUUAUCAUUUUAUUCUCUAUAUUAGAAAUAACUAUUUGAAAUUUUCCAUGGUUAGGAAUCUCAUGUCAAUGAGUAUUUUUUACUUCAUCUUCAUAGUCAACACCCCAGCGAGUUAAGAUUGAGAGCUUUUUAAGCAUGCAAAGUCGAAGGAACUGUUCCAUCUUCUGUGGGAUAUCAGCUUAUGAACUAUAUUUUACUACUACAUUUGUUUGAAUUAACACGCGAUACAAUUGUUUUUGCAGGUGGGAUUUGGUAGUUUCAAGCAUUUAAAACUAACUGAAUAUCCCGAGCUAAAAGAAUUGUGGUAUGGUCAACUUGAGCAUAACGCAUUUAGGAGUUUGAAGCAUCUAGUGGUUCAUAAAUGUGAUUUUUUAUCCAAUGUGCUCUUUCAACCUAACUUGGUAGGAGUACUGAUGAACUUGGAAAAAUUAGAUGUGAAGAAUUGUAAUUCAUUAGAAGCAGUUUUUGAUUUGAAAGGUGAAUUCACAGAAGAAAUUGCUGUGCAGAAUUCUACUCAAUUGAAGAAAUUAAAACUAUCCAAUCUUCCAAAACUGAAGCAUGUAUGGAAAGAGGAUCCACAUUACACUAUGAGGUUUCAAAAUUUAAGUGUUGUAUCUGUUGCGGAUUGCAAAAGCUUGAUAAGCCUCUUUCCACUCUCAGUGGCUAGAGAUAUGAUGCAACUUCAAAGUCUUCUUGUAAGUAACUGUGGGAUUGAAGAAAUUGUUGUCAAGGAAGAAGGACCAGAUGAGAUGGUUAAAUUUGUGUUUCCUCAUUUGACUUCCAUUGAACUUGAUAAUUUGACCAAACUUAAAGCAUUCUUUGUUGGGGUCCAUUCUCUUCAAUGUAAAUCAUUGAAAACCAUCAAGUUGUUUAAAUGUCCAAGAAUAGAGCUAUUUAAGGCAGAGCCAUUGAAACUCCAAGAAAGUUCCAAAAAUGUUGAGCAAAAUAUCUCAACUUAUCAACCUCUUUUUGUGUUUGAAGAGGUAAGAGUAGCGUUCAAUAUCAUAUCCUGCCUUUUAAUGUACAUGCACAACUUUUUAUAAUGUAUAUAUUAGACAAUUUAUUCACCAUGUCUAUUUCGUUAAUUGAAUGUUAAUGAUUAAUAAUUUUAUGUGAUAAUAUUCUACUGGCACAAGAUAUAAUGUUUUUAAUUGUUUCAAAAACUGGUAAAGAAAAUAUAUAUUUCUUAAGUAUAAUUUUGAUUUUGCAGGAGCUACUUACAAGUGUGGAGAGUACACCUCAAUUCAGAGAGUUGGAAUUAUUGCAGCUGCACAAGCUUAAAUAUAUAUGUAAAGAAGGAUUUCAAAUGGAUCCUUUUCUGCAUUUUCUUGAAAGCAUUGAUGUUUGCCAAUGUUCCAGUCUGAUAAAGUUGGUUCCGUCCUCUGUUACCUUUAGUUACAUGACCUAUUUGGAGGUAACAAACUGCAAUGGGUUGAUAAAUUUGAUAACACACUCAACAGCAAAGAGUCUUGUCAAACUCACAACAAUGAAGAUUGAAAUGUGUAAUUGGCUUGAGGAUAUAGUGAAUGGUAAAGAAGAUGAGACAAACGAGAUUGUAUUUUGCAGUUUACAAACUCUAGAACUAAUUUCUUUACAAAGACUCAUUCGAUUUUGCUCAUGCCCAUGCCCCAUUAUGUUCCCGUUGCUGGAAGUUGUUGUUGUCAAAGAAUGUCCUCGAAUGGAACUUUUUUCAUUGGGAGUUACAAACACAACAAAUCUUCAAAAUGUACAAACCGAUGAAGAAAAUCAUAGGGAGGGUGACCUCAACAGAACCAUAAAGAAAAUGUUUUUUGAUAAGGUAUAUUUUAUUAUCAUCCAUCAAUUUAUUUAGAUCAAUUUUAAGACUAUCUAUCUAGAUCAAUUUUGUAUUGUAGUAGACUAGAAUAUUAAUGCAUAAUUAAAGAUUGCUUAAAAGCAAUUUUGAUUUGUCUUUUGAUUUAUUAAUUUGAAUGAUCAGGUUGCAUUUGGUGAAUUCAAGUACUUAGCCUUAUCUGACUAUCCUGAGAUAAAGGAUUUGUGGUAUGGCCAACUUCAUCACAACAUGUUCUGCAAUUUGAAACAUCUUGUGGUGGAAAGAUGUGUAUUUUUUAUCACAUGUACUUUUUCCAUCAAAUGUAAUGCAAGUGCUACAAACAUUGGAAGAACUAGAAGUAAAAGAUUGUGAUUCCUUAGAAGCAGUGUUUGAUGUGAAAGGUAUGAAGUCACAAAAAAUAAUGAUUAAACAAAGCACUCAAUUGAAAAGAUUAACUGUGUCUAGCUUACCCAAAUUGAAGCACAUAUGGAAUGANNNNNNNNNNNNNNNNNNNNNNNNNNNNNNNNNNNNNNNNNNNNNNNNNNNNNNNNNNNNNNNNNNNNNNNNNNNNNNNNNNNNNNNNNNNNNNNNNNNNGGAUCCUCACCCUAGAAUCCACCAAUAAAUUAUAACAAAAAAAUUCGAAAUUAUAAUAUUACCUAAUUUUUUUAAUUUUGAAAAAGAUUUUAUAAAAUUUCUAGAAUAAAAUUUUCGAAAAAAAAUCUGAAUUUUUUCUAUUGAAAUUUUGGAAUAAAAAUUCUGGAAAAAGAUUAACUAUUUUUUUUAUGUUUUCAAAAAAUAUUAUCUAAAUACCGGAAAAUAUUUUCAAUUUUUUAUUUUAAAAAAAUUCAAGAAAAAUAUUUUCAGAAUUUUUAAUUCUGGAAAAAUAUUAUCUAAUGUUUUGUUUUUUUUAACUAUGAAAAAUAUUUUCCAAUAUUUUUAUUUUUUGUAUAAAAAACUGAACUUUUUAACUUCGAAAGAAAAAUCUGAACUUUUUUUGAAAUAUAUAUUCUAAUUAUUAUAAAAAAAUUGAAAUAAAUUAAGUUCGAUAAUUUUUAAUUUUUUUUUAUAAAAUAAAACUUCUUACUUUUUAAAAAAAUAUGAAUUAUUUUUAUUAUUUUUAAUUUUUCCAGAAUUUAUUAAUUUUUUUAAUAUUUCUAGAUUCUUUUUUUUUUUUUUUAAGAAUUUUUUUCCUUUUUUGAAAAAAAAGGCACAAAUGCCACAUGUACCCAUACAAAAAAUGAAAAACAAAAUUAAUUAUACAGUCUGUACGCCACAUGAUCAGAAAAAAGUGACUCUGCCCCACUAUUAAUUUGUCUCUUUAAUUAUACUAAGAGAUUUGACGCUUUAAUCCCUUUGCAUUUUUGUUUUAUUAAUUUGUCUUUCACUUUUUUGCUAUUUUCCCAUUCCUAUGGCAAAAAAAUUGGAAGUGAUGGAAAGUUAUCUCAUAUUUUCUGCAUCUUUAAUUUGUACCACACUAUUAAGAGGGUUCAUGUUCUUCAAACAUGAUCAACAUACCUUAUGAUCUUUAUUUUUUGUAAUUUAAUCUAUCUGUUCAAAUAUUACAACAAAAUAAUAACCGGUUUUCUUGACGCAUUCCAACCCAAAUUGUUAGCAAAUUCUUUCUAAAAGUUUUAACACCAUUUGGCGAAAACUUACACUAACAGUUAAUGUCGCUUCAUGUCCAAACCCGAGUUUUAACCAGAGAUUUUUUCGUAUUUUACCUACCGUAAUUAGUAUCUUUGACCACAAUAGAUAUCCCAAGGUAUCACUGUGGGCUUUGGCACUUUGGGUCUGCUAUGAGACUAAUUUUCGAAUCGGGAGCAAUUCAUCUAGUUUUUUUUUGUUAGAGGGUUUGGCUACCUCUCAAAUGGGCGACUCUAGGAAUCAAACACACUGUUCUUCUGCUCGAGAUAAUCAUCUUUCCAACUCUCCCACCAUGAUGUUGGUCGAACUCAAUUCCUUGGCUAAGAAUCUUUCAUUAAUUCAGACAUUUUAUAAUUAGAAAUUCUACCUUGAAAUUUUGUUAGGGGUCUUGCUAACCAGUACCUUAGGGACAAAGGUUAAUGAAUUUAUCAUUAGAAAUUUUAUCUUGAAAAUAUAAGUUUUGACUUUUGAUUAUAUUACACCAUUUUCUAUAAAAGGUUACUUGUUUUGGUUGUUUAUCCAAUGCUCGGGGCACUAGUUAGCAUUAUCCUUAUUAUUUUACAUGCUAUUUACUUAUAUCUUUAAUUUUUUUUUAUUGAUUAAAGAAUACUUAUACCUUUAUUUUUUUUAUUGGCUGUCAUGAUUGGUUACACAUGAUUGUAAUGAAAUUCAAUUUGCACAGUCUACCUUUAUUAUGUUCUAUUUAUUAAUUGCAGUUUUUCAUCGAAAAUAAGAGUAAUUUGUUAAUUUUCUCACAUUUUCAAAUGUUGCCCUUGUUUCUUUUGCCCUUAUCCAUAAAUAGUGUAUCUUUUUACUUUCACUUUCAGAUUUUGACUCAAGUCACAAGGAAGAGCAGAAGAAAAAAAAAAUCAAUGGAAAUUUUAAUUUCUAUUGUUGGAAAAAUAGCAGAAUAUACCGUUGUGCCUAUUGGACGUCAAACAAGUUACUUGAUAUUCUACAAAGGUAACUUCAAGACGUUAAAGGAUCAUGUUGAAGACCUUGAGGCUGCAAGAGAAAGAAUGAUCCAUUCAGUUGAAAGUGAAAGGGAAAAUGGUAAAGAAAUUGAAAAAGAUGUUCUGAAUUGGUUGGAGAAAGUGGAUGGGGUCAUUAAAGUGGCGAAUCAGCUUCAAAACGAUUCUCGCAAUGCAAAUGUUAGGUGCUCACCAUGGUCAUUCCCAAAUUUAAUUUUGCGUCAUCAACUAAGUAGGAAUGCCAGAAAAAUUGCAAAUAAUGUUGUUGAAGUUGUUCAAGGGAAAGAAAAGUUUAAUUCAGUUGGUCACUUUCCCCCUCUAGAUGUAGUAGCGUCCUCCUCAACAAGAGAUGGUGAAAAGUAUGACACAAGGGAGUCGCUUAAGGAGGACAUUGUGAAGGCUUUAGCAGAUCCUACUUCACGCAACAUUGGGGUCUAUGGGUUGGGUGGAGUGGGGAAGACCACUCUGGUGGAGAAAGUUGCUCAAAUAGCCAAGGAACUUAAAUUGUUCCAUAAAGUGGUUAAGACAGAAGUUUCUAAAAAUCCAGACAUUAAAAGAAUUCAAGGGGAGAUUGCCGAUUUCAUGGGUCUGCGAUUUGAAGAGGAGACUAUUCUUGGCAGAGCACAACGCCUAAGACAAACAAUCAAGAUGAAGAAAAGCAUCCUUAUCAUUCUAGAUAACAUAUGGACCAUACUUGAUUUGAAAGAAGUGGGGAUACCAGUUGGUGAUGAACAUAAUGGUGAUGAACAUAAUGGAUGCAAAUUGUUGAUGACAAGUAGAGAUGAAGAUGUGUUGCUUCAAAUGGAUGUCCCAAAGGAUUUCACUUUCAAAGUUAAACUUAUGCGUGAAAACGAGACAUGGAGUUUGUUUCAAUUUAUGGCAGGGGAUGUGGUUAAAGAUAGCAAUUUGAAAGAUCUACCAUUUCAAGUGGCCAGAAAAUGUGAAGGUUUGCCUCUUAGGGUAGUGACAGUAGCGCGUGCAAUGAAAAAUAAGAGGGAUGUUCAGUCUUGGAAAGAUGCAUUAAGGAAAUUACAAAGUAAUGAUCAUACAGAGAUGGACCCGGGAACUUAUUCUGCUUUGGAAUUGAGUUACAACUCAUUGGAGAGUGAUGAUAUGAGGGCUCUCUUCUUGCUUUUUGCAUUAUUCCUAGAUGAACAAAUAGAGUACUUUCUCAAAGUUGCAAUGGGGUUGGACAUAUUGAAGCAUCUUAAUGCCAUAGAUGAUGCAAGAAACAGACUUUACAGAAUAAUCAAAUCUUUGGAGGCGGCUUGUCUUUUGCUUGAAGUUAAAACAGUUGGAAAUAUCCAAAUGCAUGACUUUGUUCGUGAUUUUGCUAUCUCCAUAGCACGUAGGGACAAGCAUAUAUUUCUAAGAAAACAAUCUGAUGAGGAAUGGCCAACCAAUGAUUUUCUAAAAAGGUGCACUCAGAUCUUUCUAAAAAGAUGUCAUACACUCGAGCUUCCUCAAACGAUUGAUUGUCCAAACGUUAAGCUUUUCUAUUUGGGCAGUAACAAUUCUUCUUUCAAAAUCCCUGAUGCUUUUUUUGAGGGUAUGAGAAGCCUUAGAGUGCUAGAUUUAACGCACUUGAACUUGUUAUCAUUACCCACAUCGUUUCGGUUAUUAAGAGACCUUCAAACAUUGUGUUUGCAUCAAUGCGUUUUGGAAAAUAUGGAUGCACUAGAAGCUUUGCAAAAUUUAGAAAUUCUUUGCCUUUGGAAAUCUUCAAUGAUCAAGUUGCCAAGAGAAAUAGGGAGAUUGAUUCGAUUGAGAAUGCUUGACUUGAGCCAUUCAGGAAUAGAAGUAGUCCCACCCAACAUCAUAUCAAGCUUGACUAAAUUGGAGGAGUUGUACAUGGGUAAUACCUCUAUUAAUUGGGAAGAUGUGAGUUCAACGGUUCAUAAUGAAAAUGCUAGUCUUGCCGAGCUUCGAAAACUACCCAACUUGACAGCUCUAGAAUUACAAAUUCGUGAGACUUGGAUGUUGCCAAGGGACUUGCAAUUGGUGUUUGAGAAGCUGGAAAGAUAUAAAAUAGCUAUUGGAGAUGUAUGGGACUGGUCUGACAUCAAGGAUGGAACCUUAAAAACAUUGAUGCUCAAACUUGGUACAAACAUACAUUUGGAGCAUGGAAUUAAAGCAUUGAUUAAAGGUGUUGAGAAUUUGUAUUUGGAUGAUGUAGAUGGAAUUCAAAAUGUGCUUCCUAACCUAAAUAGAGAAGGAUUUACAUUGCUGAAACAUCUCCACGUCCAAAAUAAUACUAACUUGAAUCACAUUGUUGACAAUAAAGAGAGAAAUCAAAUCCAUUUUUCCUUUCCCAUCUUGGAAACACUAGUACUUCUUAAUCUUAGAAACUUGGAGCAUAUAUGUCAUGCUCAACCUUCGGUUGCUUCUUUUGGAAGUCUCAGUGUUAUCAAAGUAAAAAAUUGCAUCCAGUUAAAGUAUCUCUUCUCCUUUACAAUGGUUAAAGGACUUUCUCACCUUUGUAAGAUUGAAGUUUGUGAGUGCAAUUCUAUGAAGGAUAUAGUGUUCAGAGACAACAAUUCAAGUGCUAAUAUCAGUGAUGAAAAAAUCGAGUUUCUUCAAUUGCGUUCUUUGACUUUAGAACAUUUGGAGACACUUGAUAAUUUCGCCUCUGAUUAUUUGACACAUCAUAGAAGUAAGGAAAAGUAUCAAGGUCUAGAGCCUUAUGCUUAUACUACACCAUUUUUUAAUAAUGCUCAGGUAUGUUAUUUUGUUUUUAACUUCUUUUGAUACAAAUGAUAUAAUUUUUAACUGUGUGAUAUGUACAAACAGAUUAAUUAAUGAACAAAUUGGUACGUUUAGGGAAAAAACAAUUGAGUAAAAAAAGAGUAAAUGAACUAGAAAAGCUUUUUGUUUUUAAGGAAAACUAGAAAAGCUAAUAGCAGCAUUACAUCGUCAUUUAAUAAAUGAUAAGAAUAUUAACAAUUACAUCUUGCUCAAGAUUUUCAAAGUUAAAAGUUAGUGUUUAUACGUAAGAAAUAUUUAGAUAUAUUUUUGUAUUUGAUGACUUCAUAUUGUUUAGAAAGCAUGUACUCGCUCCGUAUCUUUUUAUUUGAAUAAUUUAUAAAAAUUACGGGUAUUAAGAAAAUUUAUUGGAGUAAUAAAUUUGUCUCAAAUGUAUGUGAUUAUUACUAGAUUAUCUUUAAUUAAAUAUAUAUUUAAGGUUAACUUUUCAUAUAUUCAGACAAAUUGGUAAUAUUAAUAAGGCGAUGCCUUCAGUAAUGAUUUCUGUUAAUUUGUUUUUAUGUAGGUUGCAUUUCCUAAUUUGGAUACCCUUAAAUUGAGCUCACUUCUCAAUUUGAAUUAAUUUUGGGAUGACAAUCAUCAAUCAAUGUGCAACUUGACUAGCUUGUUUGUGGAUAAUUGUGUUGGAUUGAAGUAUUUAUUUUCUUCUUCUUUGGUUGAAAGUUUUAUGAACCUCAAACACCUUGAAAUAAGUAACUGUCAUAUGAUGGAGGAGAUAAUAGCUAAAAAUGACUGAAACAAUGCACUGAAAGAGGUAUGCUAAUUCUAUUAUUGGAGCAUCCAAUUAAUUUUAAAUAAUUAUUUAUUCUGAUGGUUGUUAUUUAUGAAUUCAUAGGUUCGUCUUUUAAAUUUAGAAAAAAUCAUAUUGAAGGAUAUGAACAACUUGAAGACAAUAUGGCAUCGCCAAUUUGAAAUAUUGAAGAUGUUGGAAGUGAACAAUUGUAAGAAAAUUGUGGUGGUUUUUCCUUCUUCAAUGCAAAACACAUAUAAUGAGCUUGAGAAGUUGGAGGUUACAAAUUGUGCUUUAGUUGAAGAGAUAUUUGAAUUGAAUUUGAAUGAAAAUAACAGUGAUGAGGUUACGACACAUUUGAAAGAAGUUACUAUAGAUGGACUGUUGAAGCUGAAAAAGAUAUGGAGUGGAGAUCCUGAAGGAAUUCUUAGUUUUCAAAAUCUAAUAUAUGUACAACUAGAAAGUUGUGCAAGCUUGGAGUAUCUAUUACCAUUCUCCGUAGCCACUCGUUGCUCACAUCUCAAGGAACUUGUUAUAAAAUGGUGUGAAAACAUUAAGGAAAUUGUUGCAGAGGAGAAAGAAUCUAGCUUGAGUGCAGCUUCCAUAUUUGAGUUUAAUCAACUUAGUACUUUAUUGCUUUGGAACUUAACUAAACUCAAUGGUUUCUAUGCUGGAAAUCAUACUCUAGCAUGCCCAUCUUUGAGAAAAAUCAAUGUCUCUAGAUGUACAAAUUUGAAAUUGUUCAGAACACUAUCUACAAGAAGCUCCAAUUUUCGAGAUGACAAACCCUCUGUUUUAACGCAACCACCACUUUUCAUUGCCGAAGAGGUACGCAUAAUAAACACUCUGCAGGACUUGUUUUUAUUUUAUUUUACAUUAAGGAGUUAGCGUUAUUCUUUAAUCUUUUGAAAUACCGAUCAACUACUUCCUCCGAUCCUAAAUAUAUGAAAAGUAUCUUUUCUUUAGGUUCCUUGAAUAAUUAAUGUAUUUGAACUAUACUAUAUAAACUAAAUAUAUCAUUUAUUCAAUGAACCUAAAAAUAAAAAUUUCUCUUAUAUUUAGGACCAGGAGUAUUACUAUUCAUUUAUAAAUUUGGAAAAAUUUAAAACAACCCAAAAACUUUAUAAAAAGACAAAGCAUAUUUAAUGUCAUAAGUUAUUAAAAUAUUUUACAUUAUAGAUAUACUCCCUACGGUUUCGAAUGUGAGAAACAAAACAAAAAAAUUGAUGGUCUCAAAUAUAAGCAAAAAUAUACAAAAGUCGUUCUAUUAAAUGUUACUAUUCCAAUCUCACCCUCAUUAACUUUAUUUAAUUUGUUUCACAUUCCCAUGUUUAACACUUUCUAAAGAUUAUUCAUUGGUUUAGUUCAAAAGUCAUAUUUUCUCGUAAAAUGUUUCUAUCAUUAAUAUCUGAAUGUGUACUAAUUGAGAAAUAACUCCAGAACAAGGGGAAAAAAAAAUAGAAAAAUUGUAUUUUUUUUAUAAUGACUUAAAUACAGUCAUUCCACUUUCUUCAUAGGUGUGCCUUUUUUUUCCUUACAUUCAAGAUAGGAAGGAGUACUUGAUAAUUUCUAUAACAAAAAUUACAACUAGCAAGAGUGGCAUUUAAAUACAAAAUUGAUAAUUUCCAUAAAUUGAUAUAUUUGAGUAUAAAAGAAAUUGAAAAAAGUACAGAGAUAUUGGCAAAAAUUAAAAGGACAAAUUUUAGUCAAUAGUAAUUAUUGUUUCACUCAAUAAUAAAAUGUUUAAUUCUCUUACAUUGUUGUUUAAAUAUGUUUUAGGUGAUUCCAAACUUGGAGCUGUUGAGGAUGGUACAGGCGGAUGCUGACAUGAUAUUGCAAACCCAAAACUCAAGUUCCCUCUUUUGCAAAAUGACCUAUCUUGGAUUGGCUAGCUAUAACACCGAUGAUGCUAGAUUUCCUUAUUGGUUUCUUGAAAAUGUGUAUACUCUUGAGAAUCUACUUGUUGAGUGGUGUUGCUUCAAGAAGAUAUUUCAAGAUAAAGGAUAAAUAAGUGAGAUGACUCAUACACAAAUCAAAACACUUAUGUUUUAUUAAUUACCUAAACUUCAACAUAUAUGUGAUGAAGGAUCUCAAAUUGACCCAGUUCUUGAGUUCCUUGAAUACUUAAGGGUUCGUAGUUGUUCUAGUUUGACAAAUUUGAUGCCUUCCUCCGCCACCCUUAAUCAUCUCACAAAGUUAGAGGUAAUAAAAUGCAAUGUGCUAAAAUAUUUGAUCACAACUCCUACUGCACUAAGUUUAGACAAGCUCACUGUGCUGUAGAUAAAAGAUUGUAAUUCACUUGAAGAAGUAGUUAAUGGAGUAGAAAAUGUUGACAUUGCUUUUAUUAGUUUACAAAUUUUGAAUUUGGAAUGUUUGCCAAGUCUCAUCAAGUUUUCCUCUAGUAAGUGUUUCAUGAAGUUUCCAUUAUUGGAGGAAGUAAUUGUGAGGGAAUGUCCUCAAAUGAAGAUUUUUUCAGAGGGAAACACAAGUACACCAAUUCUUCAAAAAGUUAAAAUUGCAGAAAAUAAUUCAGAAUGGCUUUGGAAGGGAAAUCUAAACAAUACAAUAUACAACAUGUUUGAAAAUAAGGUAUGCUUGAUUUUACCACUUUAUUUCUUGUGUAACAAUAUCAUGAUUUGCUUAUCUAUUAUUGUAAUUUAAAAAAAAAAAUAUUGUUUUCUUUGGAUGCAUAAUAGUUGAUUUUGAAUUUUCAAUGUUAUAAACCUUGUAGAAAAACAACUAUUUUGAAAGUAUAUCGCAAUAUUUUCUAAAAAGGAAAGAAAACAAAGGAGAUUCAUAAUAUCCAAAGAAAAAAAAGAUAGAAAUGGACCGCUCAGGUUAUAAUGGAGCCAUAUACCCAAACAAAGACUUCAAGAGUUUGUACACUUUUUUUUUUAUGGAAAAAAAUUAAAUAAUUAUAAACAAAUAAAUUAAUACAUACUGUUCAAAAAAAUAGUAAUUUUGAUAUGUCUCUUCAUAUGUAUUAAUUAAUUUGAUUUAUCAAGUUGCAUUUCGUAAAUUCAAAUAUUCAACCUUUUCUAAAUUCCAUUUUCCAUCAGAAAUGGUGUUUGAUGCAUUGGCAUAACUCCGUAAUGCAUUAGCAAUUUAAAUAUUGGUUGCAGCAAACCAUAGUAGAUGACAUUGUAUGAAAAUAAAAAAGAGCUUCAAAUUAGCAAAUAAUAAUCAAAUCAAGUAACAUUAAACUCAGAUUUAAAAAAGAAAUUAAAAAAAGGAAACAUGUUCAGGUUGCAUGAUAAUUUUAUGAAUAUUAAUGCAUAAUUAAAGAUUGCUUAAAUGCAAUUUUGAUUUGUUUUUUAUUUAUUAAUUUACAUGAUCAGGUUGCAUUUGGUAAACUCAAGUACUUAGCCUUAUCUGACUAUCCUGAGCUAAAGGAUGUGUGGUAUGGCCAACUUCAUUGCAAUGUGUUCUGCAGUUUGAAACAUCUUGUCGUGGAAAGGUGUGAUUUUUUAUCACAUGUACUUUUUUCAUCAAAUGUAAUGCAAUUGCUACAGACAUUGGAAGAACUAGAAGUUAAAGAUUGUGAUUCAUUAGAAGCAGUGUUUGAUGUUAAAGGUAUGAAGUCACAAGAAAUAUUGAUAAAAGAAAGCACUCAAUUGAAAAGAUUGAGUUUGUCUACUUUACCCAAAUUGAAGCACAUAUGGAAUGAGGAUCCUCAUGAAAUUAUCAGCUUUGUAAACUUACACAAGGUGGAUGUUUCUUUGUGUCAAAGCUUGUUAUAUGUCUUUCCAUAUUCACUAUGCCCAGAUCUUGGACAUCUUGAAAUGCUUGAGAUAAGUUCUUGCGGAGUCAAGGAAAUUGUUGCAAUGGAAGAAACUGUAUCAAUGGAAAUUCAAUUUAAUUUCCCCCAAUUGAAAAUCAUGACACUGCGUCAUUUGUCAAAUCUCAAGAGUUUCUAUCAAGGAAAGCAUACUUUAGAUUGCCCUUUAUUGAAGACUUUUAAUGUAUAUCGUUGUGAAGCAUUAAGAAUGUUUUCUUUCAACAAUUCAGACUUGCAACAACCUUACUCGGUUGAUCAAAACCAGGGCAUGCUAUUCCAACAACCCCUGUUUUGUAUUGAAAAGGUAAACCCCACCAUAUCUACACCGUUUUUCUUUAUUUUUAUGUUUCAUAUUUAUUUUGUUUUUGAACGUUUUAUUUUUCAGUUGAGCCCCAACCUGGAGGAAUUGGCAGUAAGUGGCACGGAUAUGUUGGGGAUAUUGAAUGGUUGUUAUCAAGAAAAUAUAUUUCAUAAAGUUGAAUUUCUUCGUUUGCAACUGUUUGAUGAAACUCCUACUAUUUUUAUGAAUGACUUACACAUAAUAUUUCCUAAUCUUCAAGAAUUUCAAGUCCGUAAUAGUUCCUUUGAAAUAUUGUUCCCCACUAAAGGAGCCACUGAUCAUCUCAAUAUGCAAAUUUCAAAGCAAAUGAGAAUGUUGAUGCUUUUUGAAUUGGAAAAGCUCGAGCACAUCUGGCAGGAAGAAUUUCCAUUGGAUCAUCCUCUUCUACAACAUCUUCAAGAAUUAUUUGUAUUGAAUUGUCCAAGUUUGAUAAGCUUGGUACCACCGUUCGCAUCUUUCACAAAUUUAACCUAUUUGAAAGUGGACAAUUGCAAAGAGUUGGUCUAUUUGAUAACAUAUUCAACAGCUAAAAGCCUAGUUCAACUCAAAACAUUAAUAAUAGAGAAUUGUGAGAAGAUGUUGGAUGCUGUGAAGAUUGAUGAAGAAAAAGGAGAGGAGGACAUCAUAUUUGAAAACUUGGAAUACUUGGAACUUGCUUCUUUGUCAAGUUUGAGAAGCUUCUGCUAUGGGAAACAAGCAUUCAUAUUCCCAUAUUUGCUUUGUUUCAUCGUUAAAGGAUGCCCUCAAAUGAAGAUCUUCUCAUCUGCACUCACAGUAGCACCGUGCCUCACAUCAAUUGAGGUGGAAAAAGAAAAUAUGCGAUGGAAAGGUGAUCUUAACACAACUAUUGAACAAAUGUUCAAAGAAAAGG